rnacentral:lncRNA from 1 species
CAAACAUGUAAGAAGCCAUCAACCAUGGAAAAACUGUGACCAUUGACUUGAGAGUACUAGCUAGGCACAAAGUCGUGCAUCAUCUAGCUAGAUGAAAGAGGUCAAAACAACAGCAGCAACACAAAAGGGAUGAUAUAAAUACAACAACAGUACUAAGGUCCAUCAUGACCACUGGAUUUGAAUCCAAUGUUUGAUCUUGGACGUUGACUCAAACCAUCGGUCUUCUGAACUUGAUUUCCCUUUACAUGAUUCUGCAUGUCGGGGGAUAGUAGUACUCUUCAUAAACAUAUAAACUUCUGCACACAUAGUAACCCCUACUUCGGCAACUACAACAACCAUCUCCCCAUAUAUCACACUCUGACCUUCUACAAGGUACAUAACAAUAUGGAGGUACUGUUGGCAUACAAAAGUGAUGACAACAUGGGCCUCGGCGGCAUUUUUCACAGCAUGUGCAUGUGCAUGGUGGUGGAGGUGGUGAUGGUGGUGGUGAUGGUGGUGGAGGUGGUGGUGAAGGUGGUGGUGAAGGUGGAGGUGGUGGUGAAGGUGGUGGUGAAGGUGGAGGCGGCUUGAUCUCAAUGCACUUGACAGCUUCACCUCCUUUGCAGUAUAUUUUUGUCUUGAUCUUUUCAGGACAGCAACCCACCAAAGUGAUUGUCACUGUGUUUUCCUUCUUGUCAUAUAUCUGGUUCUGGAUUUCUCUUGUUCGUUAAUUAACAUCAUCAAAUCCACAAAACUUAGUCACUUCCUUUGGUAAUAAAAACAACUCAAACCUAGCACUGUUUUUAAAGAGAAAAAAGGAAAGACUCACGAGAGAUACCACACAGAACUUUCUUGAUUUUCUUGUGGCAUUUUUUGCAUUCAAGGUCAACCACCUUAAUCACCAUCGUUGUGACUUUCUGUAACAGUACUAGUUAGUGCAUGCAUUUCAUAUAGGACCCCACCAUGAUUAAUCCCAACAGAAAACAAAGAAAAUCUCAGGAUAAAUUUAUAGACAGAAAGAUUGGAAGAACUCAAAACAUGUUCUGACAUGGAAGAAUCCGCUGUAGAGAUUAUAUAUCAAGAACUUGUACAUAUAUAGGACAUCCACGUAAAAAGAAGAAAAAGGCCAAAGAGGAUGCAUUAAAAGAUAAAUCAACACACACAAAUAUAUAUCAUACCGUCAACACACACAAAUAUAUAUCAUACCGUUUCUACCAUGGUUUUGUGUAUGCCUGGAUCCGAUGAGACUAUGGAAAUACGGAGAGUAUAUAUAUGGAGGGGGGGGGGGGGGCGAUUUAAGUAAGAUAAAUUAAAUGUGAGGGCUUAAUUUAGUUGUCCUUGCAUUUUGAGACCAAUAAGAUGAGGAAAUGUGGACUUGGGAGAGUGGAAACUUGAUGCAACCAUCAUAAUAAACAUAGUCGCUGCUGACCCAAUAAUUUUUUUUUUAUUAUUAUUGUGAAUAUUCAGAUCAGUUUAUGUCUAUCUCGACUAAUUUUACAGGUCCUGAAAUUAACAAUUAUAUAAACCUUCAAUGACCCUGAAAUUUAUAAAACUCAAACUAAUAAUCUCAAAAAAACAAAUUUAAAACCCGACCAAUAAACUACUCCCCACAACCUUUCAUCAGCAAGAGAUGGUUUUUAUGUGCACAGCUCACCUUUUAUUUUGUUAAUCAAUUCAAAGGUUAAGCUAAGGAUAGCCGCCGGGGUUAAAGAAAUUGAUAGUGACAUUUAUAUAUAAAAACAAUUACUAAUUGGUGAUGUUCAAUUGUGCUCCAUGCACGCCCACACCCAGCACAUGGCAUCCGUAGUUGGUCGUGGGUGUCCCGUGCAAUGCGGAGUAAUUUUAUUUUAUUUUAUAUAAAAAAUAUUAAUAUUAAAAAAUGUUACGUCUAUUUAUAAAACUAGAUUUAAAAUUCUUAUGUUAAUUCCAACGCUUUAUUCAAAAGUAAUAUUUAUAAUAUUAAUUAUAAUACAAAUAGUAAUAUUUUUAAUAUAAAUAAUAAUAUUUUUAAUAUUAAUAAUAAUAUUAAACUUGUCUAGUCCAAGUUUUUAUAGGAUUUUACCCCUUGAAAUUUAAUUUAUGGUCUUUUUUCAAUAUUAAAAAUAUUUUUUUAAAAAAUUAUUAAUGAUCAUAAUAAUAACAAUAAUAAUAACAAGAAUACUACUAAUGAUUAUAAACUUGGAUUUGGCGCCACAACUAGACCUAUGUUUCUGGAAUUUGGUUCCCCUAAUAAUAAUAAUAAUAAUACUAAUAAUAAUAAUAAACUUGUUUGACCCAAGUUCUUAUAGUUUUUUAUUCCUUCAAAUCAAAUUUAUGAUUUUUUUAAUAGUAAUAAUUGUUUUUCAAUUUUAAUAAUAUUAAAAAUAAUAAGAACAUUAAGAAUAAGAAUAACACUAAUAAUCAUAAUAAUAAUAAGAAUAACAACGACGAUGAUGACAUCAACAACAACAAUAAUAAUCUUUAAUUUUACUUUUCAAAUCAAAUCUAUGGUUUUUUUCAAUAGUAAUAAUAUUUUUUUAUAAAAAUUAUUAAUAAUUAUAUUAAUAAUAAUCACAAUAAUAAUAUUUAUAAUAUUAAUAAUAAUAUUAAACAUGUCUAAUCCAAGCUCUUAUAGUUUUUAAUUUUAUCCUUCAAAUCAAAUCAAAUAAUAAUAAGAAAGUUCGUCAAACAAGAAGAACAUUGAUCGAGUUUGCAAUCCUUGACAGAGAUGACAUUGACACUUAUUGCUUAUGCUUGAAAAGUUGACCACCUGGGAGCAAUACAGUGGACCCUGAAAAGGAAAACAAACAAUAUUUAGAUCAACUUGGGGCAAAGAAAGAAUCAAAUGAUGAGUUAGCAAAGUCCAUCAAAGUUAUGUUUAGUAUCUGGCAAUGAUAAAAGCCUCUUGAUUAUAGACAGAAGAACAAGCAUACUCAGAUCAAUUAGGGGCAAUGAUGUUCAAGAACAAUCUAUGAUCUAGUAAACUCUAGUAGUAAUUGAGAGCAAUGUUGCACUUGAAGUACAUCUUCAUAUCUUCAUUUUGGGUUUACCCUAUGAAACAUAACUAUGACUCUUGAAAGAUGUUAUCACAUGGCUGUUUUUGAAUGAAUAUCGAAAGGAUGAACACCAUCAAUAUUGAUUGUGGGACAAUACGACACUUAAAAGACAUUUUCAUAUUGUCAUUUUAGGUUUCCCUUUGAAACAUGACUAUGACUCCUAACAAACGUUAUAAUAUAGUGGCAUUUGAAUGAAUAUCGAAAUGAUACACACCACCAAGACUAAUUGUGGGAUCAUAUAUUUUGAAGCCCAAGGUGCACUUCACCGUAUAAAUAUGGGUAACAAAUUGAACAUAAUUGAUGAUGUCAAUGCAUUUCUUUUCAUAAUCUGAUUUGACAAGCUGAAAGGAAUUCAUUGAUAAAAACACUGAAUAUACAACAAAGAGCCUUUUACUGCAAGAUAUGAGAAGCAUGUUUGGAGGACUGAAUAGUUUCCAAGAAGGUUGAUGAUAAUGUAUAUGUGAAGAGCAUUGUUUCAAAUGGAGGCAAGUCCGUGGAUGAUUAGCAAUCUAAGAUGAGGUCGACACAAGAAAACUUUUUAAUGGGUGUUGGUAGGAUGCACACAACUAAUUAGAGAACAAUUCUCGAGAGAAUCCAGGAGAUGAAUGACUUGUUGAGCUUUUUCAUGAUGAAUCAAGCAACACCAUACUUGGAGGCAUUGUUAAGCUUGAUAAACAAUGAAAAUAGUAAUCGUUGUAGACAGCCCCAAAUGGGCACUACACUUACAUCUGAAUGGAAGACUAGCAUGCAAAUGAGCUAGUUAGUCAGAAGAACAAAGAAAGCUUUAGGUAACAAACAAAGACACCCUAUGACAAUGGAACAUUAAAGAGGGGGGGACCUAUAUUUCAAACCAGGUAAAAAGGUAUGCAUGUCAUCUAACCUCAAAGCAUUGCACAUAUAUUUUUGAAUUAUUACAGGAAAAAUCCUUAAUGAAAUCCAGUAAGAUUGUGGACAAAGAAAGAAUCAUUGAGUUGAUAAUAACAAAGAAUCACAGUUUUGACCCUUGAAUGAGAAGAAGAUGAGGCGAACCCUACCAUUAGGAAAAUCUCAAAGAAAUGAGAAGAUCAACCCUGCCAGUGGUGAUCCUUACAAAGUGAGAAGAACCCUACUAUUAUGAAAUUCCCAAAGUAAAAGCAAGUUUGAACCCUGCCAUCAGGAAGAACACAUAUAUUUUUUGUUCUGAUUAAAGGAGAUCGCCAAAAGGGAUCUCAGGUUAACCCAACCACACAUAGUUCCUUUAGUUUUGGUUAAAGGAGGUCACCAGAUGGGAUCUCUUGUUAACCCAACCAUACAUUUCUUUUGGCUCUUGUUAAAGGUGCGACAGUCACCUCAACUCAUAAGAUAAGAAGAAUUGCCCGCCCAAGGAGCUCUCCUCCUAAAAUUACUAUGAUAAAGUGCUUGGUAUUUUCUCACUCAUGCUUUCUCAUCUAGGUCGUUCCAUUAUUUAUUUAAAAUCAGUCCAAUAUUAAACCACCAAAAAUUAUUGAAGAUGUUUUCAAGUGAUUGAAUAUCCACAUAAAUAGUAAAGGAACACAACACAAUAUUGCUCUCUUUCUAUGCAAUCUACAAUGGUUUAGGGAUAAGAGAGUUUUAGCCAAGAUUGUUGAGAUAAGGUUAUUCUUUGUCCGUUUAUACUCAACGAAGACGUUGACAACAUUAAUACUGAUGAUCACAAUGGCUUCUAAAGGAGAAAAAAAACUAAUUGGAAUAUGGCGAAAGCAACUACUUAGUAUUUCUCUUCUCCUGACUUUUCAUUGUUUUUAUCUGUCUUCAGCUUAUUCUCAAUCAACUUCCACUCAUGUUACUUCAAAAUUAUGGAAUUAAUAUUAUCAUCAACAAAUGAUUUGGUUUUCGCAAUGUUGCGCGACAUGUUAAUUUUUUUUAAAGGUAAAAAAAUGAUGAUACUCUUUUUAGAAGAUUAAUGAAAAUUUAGAAUUUGGUUCAAUAAACUUGAUUAAUUUAAUAAUAUAAUUAUAAAAAACAACAAUGGAUAAUAAAAUAAAUAAAUAAAUUCUUGUCAACAUCAUGAAAAGAUACCCUUUAAUUAUUCUUGUAAAGUCUCCACAAUUUAAUUUGAUAACAAAGAAAAAAUUAUAUGAGAAAGGGUAAUUUCAUAAAGAGAAAAAUAAAAAACAUUCAAAGCUCAAUCACUAGCAAAUCAAAUUGAAGGAUUAAUUGAAAAAAAAAUUAAAAAAUUAUAUUUAAAUUUUUUAGGUCUGGCAUGGCCUUCAUACUCAAGGCUCUUGGAUCUUACAUGACUGUGUGAUACAAUUUACUUGAGUCUAAUAUAAUUACUAUAUCCAAGAAGCUUAAAAUAUUAUCUAUGCUCUUAAUAUUUGUUUACAUUUAAAAGAAAUUAAUAUUGACUUGUUGUGCAUUACAGACUAUGUACUAUUAUGUGAUUGCGCACGCGCACGUGUACAACAAAUGAUUUUAGGGUUGUGAUUGGCGGGCAGGAAAAAAAGGUCCAUAUAAUUAGUGUUAUGAAUUGGUUGUGGCCUGCCAACACUACCAGGCCCACUUGAUUGACAGAAAAAAAAGUCAUCAAAGUCAGCAAUUUACACAUGGGUUAUUUUUUAAAAUUCACUUUAAAAAAAAUAAAAAAACAAACAAUAAAAUAAAGACUAACAACGUAGAGAAAGUAGGUCGAGAAGAAUUUCAAAAAAAUAUAGAAAAAAUCAAGCUGUGAUUUAGAAGGAAAUUCAAGAUCUAAUUGUACCCCAUUUGUGCCUAAAAAUAGAGAAAACAAUAUAAAUUAAAUGUCAAAUUAAAUGAUUAUUAGAUGAAUUUGCAUAAAAAUUAAGUCCAAUGACAUAAUUAAAUUUUUAAUAGGCCAAUUUGAUUUAAUUAUGAGUCAAAUUGAAUUUUAAUUAUGUUUAAGAAUUAAUUUGCAUCCAAUUGAAGGAUUUAAUUAAGUGUAAGGACUUAAUUAUACUUUAAAUGAGUCAAAUUAAUUUAUUAGGGGCUUAAUUAGUAAAAAAAUUAAGUUUGGAAGUUCAAUUUAAGUUCAAUUAAGAAUAUUGAAAUUUUCAGAGAUCAAAUUUAAUUUAAUUUUGAUUUCUCAAUUAAGAUUGUGACAUGGAAUAAUUAUUACAAGAUUUGAUGGAUCUAAUUGAAAAACAAAAACAAUUUAAGAAAAUAUCUAAACGAAUAGUCUAACUUAAAACAAUAAUAAUAGAAGAUCCGAAUGUUAGUUCUUGCUCAAAUUUUUCUAGUAAGUUUUCAAGACUGUCUUUUUAUGGGAAGAAAAUCUCUUAUUUAUUGAACCAUUGGAUUUUUUAAAAUUAAACCUAAAAGUUGUUGGGUGUUUUAUUUUUUAUUAGAGAAUAUUAUUUAAAUCUAACUAGAUUUCUCUGGUUGUGUCAGUAACCUUAGAAUUUAAAAACCCUAAUUUUAUCUUCGUUGUUAGAAUUUCUUGAUAGAAAAUGUUGAUUUUUCAAUAAAAUGAUGUGCGAGGGAAAAAUCUUAGGCGACUGAGAAUUUUGAAUAGAAGCUUGAUUGAGAAUUUUAAAUCUUAGGCGACAGAGUUGAUGGAAAAUUUUUACUGGGAAAAAAUCAAGACUGCCUAAAUAGUUGGGGGCAUUUUUUAGGUUUGCCCUUCUUUCUUUUUUUUUUUUUUUUUCAUUUGGAGCCCAAAAAUUCAAAUGAUAUUAAGGAAUACUCUAAUAAAAGGUGUGAACUAUUUAUCAACAAAUAAAUCAGUGUGGAUUGUGAUUAUUUUUUAAUUAUUUUUUUUACUGUACUCUCAUAGGUCCAAAUUGAUGACCAAUUAAAAUAUUUUUAUUAAAGAAGAGAAAGAUUCAAAAAUAAAAGAUUAAAAUGAAAAAUACAACAAAAAAAUACUUUUGCUAAAACUAGAGCUAAACAUACACUUUAAUCUUCCAACUUUUUAGAUUAUGAACUUUUAGUCACUAACAAUCUAUUAAAUUCAAUUUUGAUUUCAAAUUUUUAUUUUUAUUUUUUAAUUCCUGAUUUGAGAGAGAAGAAGAAAAGUGGCUGGAUUCUGAUUGUAGAGAAAAAAAAUCUUAAUUGAGAUUGAUUUCAGUCAUAAAAACAUGUGAUUUUAGUUUCAAUGUUUACUUUUGACAAGUAAAGUUUAGACAAUGUAUUAUUUUUACCUUAAACUUGCCUAGAAUUGUAGAUUUGAACUCGAAAAGAAUUAUGAUUUCAGAUUCAUUAUGAAUUUUGAAGAUAAUUUUUGAGUUAUUAUAGGUUAUAGAUAUGUUUUACAAAGUGUUUAGAGUAUUUUUAUGGUUUUUUCAGGUUGAAAUAUUGUUAAAAAUAGUUUUUUUUUAUAUAUAUAAAGAUUAGCUUGAUUUUUAGGUCAUAAAAGUUUAGCUUACUUCAGCUGGGUAGAGAUUAAGCAAUAAUUGUUUUUAUUGAAUAAAUAGUUAUUAAUUUAUUUAAUUACAUGUAUGCAUGAAUUUUUUAAAUUUUAUUUAAGAUUUUUUUUAUGUACAAAAACAUAUCGUAAAAAUCUAAAUACAUAGUUUUCUAAAACAAAUUAUUCGACCAUGAGAAAACAUGUCAAUGUCAAAAAACUAGUAAAAACCUACUUCUAGUUAAUUUAUUCUUUUUUUCAUGUGUAAUGCCACCUAUGUGCUUUCUUCUUUAUUAUUAUUUUUUCUUUAAUCAGCUGAUAUCUGACCUUAAGCAACCAACGAAAGAACUAUCUACAGAAAAAUAAAUCUUUGUUACUCUUUUGACGUAAGCAACCAUGGCAAUUGGUUCAUUGUAAGCAAAUGCUCGAGUCUCGUUGAUUUGACGAGGCAGUCACUUAGCACUGCCGACACUGCAGACAGCAAACCAGCCAUGUUCUGUCAGAUCACACAUGCAUAUGGAAUGGAUUUUGAUCCAAUCUUUAAUAGCUUUAAAUUUCAAUCCCGAAAAUGCAAUGUACAUGCUAUUCCCUCACCGAAUAAUUGCCUCAAUUAUGCAGACUAUCUAAAGAGAUGCUCAUGAAUCAUCGCACAACCAGUCAAAGCAACAUGAUUUAGAUUUUUAGAAUCUGAUCAGCUAUAUGACGAUUCAAUGGCUAAAUAUAAUGAUUUCUCUUAACGUGUAAAUUCAGAGAAAGAAAAGAUUUGCCAACUCAAAAUUAUUUUACAUUGAAUCUGUCACAGCAGCAGGUAUAUACAAAAAUAUUUUCCUAUAUUGUGCUCAGAUAUUUUUGGAAUAAGAGUUACAAUAAGAAUAGAUGUCCUUGACAGCAUAUGUUUCCUAAUACAUUACGUAAAUGUGAGAUAUUGUUGAUCCUUUCUUAACACUCCCUCUUAAGUUGAAGAGUGAACGUCAAGAACUCCCAACUUGCGAAUCAUGGUGGAGAAACUCUCUUUUCCCAAUGGUUUAGUGAAUACAUCUGCAAGUUGUUCUGCUGAAGUAUCAAAUUCAGUCAUGAUUGAACCAUCUUGUAUUUUGUCCCAAAUGAAGUGACAAUCCAUUUCUAUAUAUCUGGUUCUCUCAUGGAAAACUAGAUUAGCUGAUAUAUGUAAAGCUGCUUUGUUAUCACAUUGUAGUAGUGCUAGUUUCGAAUGCAAUAUCCGUAGGUCUUUCAACAAUGAUCGUAACCAAGAUAACUCGCAGCAUGUACCUGUCAUAGCUCUGUAUUCGGCUUCUGCUAAGGAGAGUGGCACUGUUUUCUAUCUUUUCGUUCGCCAAGAAACAAGCGAAGAACCCAAAAAAACACAAUAACCCGUAGUGGAUCUCCGAGUCAUUAGGCAACCGGCCUAAUCUGAAUCACAAAAAGCUCGCAGAGACAUAUCAUUUUUAGAAGAGAAAAACAAACCCUGACCUAGAGCACCUUUCAGGUAAUGCAACACACGCAAGGCAGCCUUCAUGUGCGGUUUGCGUGGUGCAUGCAUAAACCGACUUAGCACAUGUAUAGAAUACAUGAUAUCUGGUCGUGUAAUAGUCAAGUAGAUUAGGCGCCCCACAAGUCUUCUAUACUAAGAUGAAUCUUUAAGCAAGUCACCUGCAUCAGAGAGUUUUGUGUUUUGUUCCAUAGGAAAAUUCACGGGUUUAGCACCCAAAAUCCCAAUAUCCUUCAGAAUUUCCAAAGCGUAUUUCCGCUGUGAGAUAGAAAUACCAUUUUUUGAUCGAGAGAUCUCAAUGCCCAAAAAGUACUUCAAAUCACCCAAAUCUUUAAUUCAAAAACGACUGUGCAAAAAUCUCUUGACAGUAGAUAUAGCCUUGAGGUCAUUACCUGCGAUGAGAAUGUUGUCAACAUAUAUCAACAAUGCGGUAAAAUAUUCACCAUUGUGACAUGUGAACAAUGAAUAAUCUGCUUUAGACUAAACAUAUCCGACAACUUGAACAACUGCAGAGAAAGUGGCAAACCAUUGGCGAGAUGCUUGCUUUAAUCCAUACAAUGACUUGUUGAGGCGACAUACCAAGUUCUCCCCCUGUCGUUGAAGACCAGGAGGUGGACAUAUAUAAAUUUCUUCAUGAAGAUCACCAUGAAGGAAAGCAUUGUGUACAUCUAGCAGGUGGAGGGACCAAUUUUGCGCUGCUGUCAGAGCUAGUAAACAACGAACAGUAAUCAUUUUGGCAGUAAGAGAAAAUGUGUCAUGGAAAUCAAUACCUUCCAGCUGUGUGUAACCCUUGGCCACCAACCAAGCUUGAUGACGCUCAAUGGUGCCGCCUGAAUGGCGCUUGAUUUUGUAGAUUCAGCGACAUCAAAUUGCAGUCUUGCCAGGAGGGAGAUAUGUGAGGGACCAAGUCUGGUUAGCUUCCAAUGCUGCUAACUCAGAUUGCAUAGCAUCAUGCCAUUGUGGAAAGGAGGCAGCUUUAGUGUAAGAGCGGGGCUCAAUGUCCUGACUAAUGAUGGCAACAAAAGAGCAAUGAUGUGGUGAGUAGCGGUGAUAAGAAAGAAAAUUACAAAGAGGAUACCUUGUACCUGUAGUGGGACUGGAUGAUGAAGGCAAAGUUGGUUUGGGAGAUGUUACUUGGUUGCAAACAUAAUCACAUAGAGCACGAGGAAGGCUGUGAUGUUGCUGGGAACGACGCAAUAAUCACGUAGAGCACGAGGAGGGCUGUGAUGCUGCUGGGAAAGACGCAAAGGCUGCACAUGAAGCAUUGUAGGUGAUGACAGGGGCACAUUUAUGUGAGACGAAGGAGGAACUGGAGUGGAAGACAUAGGAGAGGAGACUGGUAAGGCUGCUGAAAGAAGAUCUGAGAUGGAAAGAGGAAUGACUGGUAUGGCAGUUGUGGAUUCAGUUGAUGAUAUGGGAGGUGCAGGAAUGGUGGGAGGUAAUUGGUAGGGGAAAAUGUGUUCAUGAAAAACAAUGCCACGGCUGAUGAGAAAUUUAUGGGUGGUAAGGUUGUAGAGUUUGUAAGCUUUUUGGCCGACCGAGUACCCGAGAAAAACAAAACGUGCAGCUCGAGGAGCAAAUUUAUGUGUAGCAUGCAUUUCAGUAGCAUAUGCAAGGCAACAUAAAACUUUGAGAUGGGAGUAAUUGGGAUUCUUGUUAUAAAGUCUUUCAAAGGGGGUUUUAUAAGAAAGAAGUUGUGUAGGCAAACGAUUGAUUAAAUGGAUAGUGGUAAGGACGCAUUUUGCCCAAAAAUACAAAGGGAGGUGAGCUUGAAAACAAAGAGCACGGGCGGACUCAAGGAUAUGACGAGGUUUAUGCUCUACAACCCCAUUUUGUUGGGGCAUAUAAACGCAAAAGUGUUGAUAAGUUGUGCCAUGUUGACGGGAAAAAUUCUGCAUAGAAGACAAUUCCCCCCAUUAUCGACACGAAUAUUUGCGAUGGAUGCAUUAAAUUGAGUUUUGACGAAGGAAAAGAAAUUGGUGAGUAAAUUUUGUGUUUCAUGUUUGUGAUGCAUAAACAAUACCCAUGUAAAUCGAGAGUAAUCAUCCACAAUUGUCAAAAAAUAUUUAGCACCAAAAGGAGAAGAAAAUUUAUAAGGACCCCAAAUAUCGCAAUGAAUUAAUUCAAAUGGUCGAAUAGAGGAAAUUGAACUAGCAGAAAAAGGAAGACGACAUUGUUUUGAAAGUGCACAAACAUCACAAGCGUCUUGGAAUGUAAAAGGGAAAUUGAGUAAAUUUUUUGCCAUAAAAUGUAAUCUAGAGGAAGAUAAAUGCCCUAAUCGGCAGUGCCACAAAUCGGUGUAAGAGAUGACAUGAGAACGAGAUGAUCAGGUAGCAAUGACAGCAGAUGCAGAGGGUUGGUAUUUUGGUGUCGGUAGUGUUGAUGCUAAUGCAACCAAGUAAUAAAGUCUGCCUUGUUGUUUACCCAAACCAAUAGGGAAAAAGUUACUGAACAAUUAAGACCUCUUGUAACUUGACUUAUAGACAUCAAAUCCACCUUAAAAGAUGGCACACCAAGCACAUUUUUUAGGGAAAUAACAGAAUUCAAAGGUAAAGUCCCGGUAGACAUAAUUGGAGCCUAUUCUCCACUCGGCAUAAUAACUGGUGGUAAAAUAGUGUUCUGAUGACUAUCGACAAGCAAAUUCAAAGAAAAAGUGAUAUGGUCAGUGGCUCCACUGUCGAGAAUCAAUUGAUGGAGUCUUAACGGUGCUUGUAACAAACCUGGAGUAGUAACUGCAACAUUGGCCUGAGGAACAGCGGUUUGAUCGGUUCCUUUAUUGUUCAUGAUGGACAAUAUUUGCUGGAACUGUAAAUCAAAGAGUCCAUUCAUCACUGAAUGCAUCUAUUACAUCGUGGGACCUUCCUUGAUGUAUUUAGCUUAAGGUUAUGCAGGUUUGUUGUAGUGAGGACGACUUCCAAACGUGUUGAAUCUGUUGGCUUUGUGCUUUGGAUGACCUGGUGGAUAUCCAUGCAAUUUCCAACAUGUAUCUCGCACAUGAUGGUCAUUGUCAUAGUAUGUGUAGUGUAAUGGCUUACAAUUAAAAGAAUUAGAGCAGGAGGAAGCCCUUUGUCAUGAUCAAAAUGCCAGAGCUGUGGGUGCAUCUUGUUGAACUACCAUGGCUGCGGUUUCUGUUGCAUCAUGUGUAUCACCUAAGCUGUGUUGCUUCUCUUCUUAAAUAAUAGAAGCAUAAGCCUAACGAAUAUCAGGUAAAGGAUUCAACAGUAGAAUCUGCCCCCGAAUUGCCUUGUAAGAUUCAUUUAAUCCCAUGAGAAAUUGCAUCAAUUGUCGUCGCUUAUAAUCUGCUCCACAAGAACAAACAGUUCCGCUAUAAGAUCAUAAUUCAUCCCACAAUCCUUUCAGCUUUGUAUAGAAUGCCACAACUGUCAUCUGAGCUUGAGAAACACAAGCGAUGUCCCUCUCAAUCUGAAAGAUACGAGGAGCAUUACUUUGAGAAAAACGAUCUUGAAGGUCCUCCCAAACUUCUUGUGCUGUAGUCGAAUAUAUAACACUGCCGGUAAGUUCUGAUGUAAUCGAGUUAAGAAUCCAUGAUAAAAUCAUGUCAUUGCAUCUUUUCCAUGAAGCAUGCUCGUCUGGUUGGCUGUUGGCUGACGGUAUCUGUAUUGUACCAUCUAUAAAUUCCAAUUUAUUUUUAGCGUUUAAGGAGAUUGUCAUAGAUAUGUACUAGGUAGAGUAAUUAUCACCAUUGAGAGGUUUGGAAACAAGCACCAAUCCCACAUGAUCAGAAUGGUAGAGAAAAAAAAAUAUCAAAGGCAUUAUUCCCGCCUUCCUUAGAAAAUUGCUCGCGUUCCAUGGUAGUGAACAAUCGGAAGAAAAAUUGAGGCAAGAAUUUGAGGCAGAGGCAGAGAAACACUACCACAAAUUCGCUAAAUAGCAACGGAUUUACCGACGGAAUAUGUUUGUCAGUAAUUUGAGGUUGAAAUUACCGACGGACACUAUUCCGUCCGUACUUCAGUCGGUAACUACCGACGGACACUUUUCCGUUCGUAAUUCAGUCGGUCACUACCGACAAAAAUUUUCCGUUGGUAGUUACCGACUAAUUACGGACAGAAAAUUUUUCGUCGUAAAAAAAAAAGGCGGGUCGCUGACGUGGAGGUUUUGGCGGGUUAUUUUUUUGACGGAAUCACCGACGGAUUCAAAAAGACAGCCCGUACAGCGACGUGACCGGUUCGCCAUUUAAAUUGCUGACGGAAUCACCGAGGGAUUUGAAAUGGAAGAUCUGUACGAUGAUGUGUCAAUUGUUCCGUCAGAACCACCGACGGUUUCACCGAUGGAGUGUCCGUCGGUGAAACUGUCGGGAAAAGUUAAUAUAUGUCCGCUCUGCCGACCCUCUCCUCCCCUAUUUCUUCUUCUUCUUCCUAAUCUCAACUCUCCCCAUCUGCAAACAACCAGCCCCCCUCCCCCCCAAACAAAAUUCUCCCUCAUAUCAGCACAACAAGUUAUAUUUCUUGAAGUUUUGUGGUCACAGCAUCCGUGUUCUAAUUUACCGAUGGAUUUUAUCAAUUUUCGUAAGUAAUUCUAUCUUUUUAAAUUUUAACAUUUAAUUAAAUGUCAAAUUUAUUGUUUUUUUAGUAUAUGUAUUUUGUUAGUAGAUGUACAUGUUUUAUUGUUAUUUCUCAAACAAACUUGUACUAUAUGAAUGUAUAAUUCUAUACCUGUUAUGGUUUGUUUUAGAUUUUGUAAGAUUGUAUUUGUUUGUAAAUUGUUAAAACUUUAUGGAACUACCGAAGUACAUGUGCUGUUUUGAAAUAAUUAAUAGCUUGCUUAAUGGGUCCGUUAAAAAGUUUUAUCAAUGGUAUUGCGGAGUGGUAAUUUCCGUAAAUUUAUAUAUUUUAAUUUGUAUGGACGUUGAUAAAUGAUAAUGAAUAUUUAAUAUUUAUGAGAAGUUGUGAUUAGUUUGUUGGAUAAUCUCGAGGUAAAGUAAUAUUUUUACAAGUUUAUUUACCUAACUUAGUUAAUUAAUACAUGAUGUCAUCUUAAUUUUAUAGAGGUUCGAUAUAAGUCAUGGAUGAUCGUUCAUGGAUGUAUCGAGAUUCACCCUAAGGAUUGCGGAUGAUGGAUUAUUGUAACGGGGUUCAGGGUUUUAUUAAUUUCACAACAUCUAUUCCUAAAAAUUUUACUGGAGGCGGUAUUAGGUGUCCAUGCAGGAAGUGUCAAAAUAAAAAGUAUCUACAUCCAGAUGUUGUAAUGAUGCAUCUUCUACACAAAGGGUUUAUGGAGAAUUACCAGUGUUGGUAUGCACAUGGAGAAGUAUUUGUUAGUGAGAGCAACGUGCAUAAAGCGGCAAAUGACAACACUAAUCCUUACAGAAAUAUGGUUAUGGAUGCAAUGAGAAUGAAUCAAGGUAAUGUCAAUCAAUGUCCAAUCGUAGAAGAAGAACCUAAUGCAGAUGUAGCUAGGUUUUGUGAUUUGUUGAAAGAUUCUGACGAACCAUUAUGGGAUGGCUGCACGAACCACAGUAAAUUAUCGGUCGUAGCACAGGUGUUCACCAUCAAGUCAGAUCACGGGUUGAGUGAGGCCGGGUAUGACAAGAUUAUUGAAUGGGCGAGAAGCAUUUUACCUGAAGGGAACAGGCUGAAAAAGAACUUUUAUGCUGCGAAGUCCAUGAUGAAACCCCUCGGUUUAGGAUACUAGAAAAUUGACAUGUGCCCUAACUUCUGCAUGUUAUACUACCUUGAAAAUGCUGAGAUGACCGAGAGCAUGACAUGCGGGCAUUCCCGUUACAAACCUAGAACUGGCAGGGGAAAGACUCUAGUGGCAUAUAAAAAACUUAGAUACUUCCCGAUCACACCUAGACUGCAGAGGUUAUUCAUGUCACCAAGGACUGCUGAACACAUGACAUGGCACCAAGCACAUCAUGCGGUUGAUGGAGUGAUGGUUCAUCCUUCUGACGGCGAAGCGUGGAAACGCUUUAACAGUGUUCAUCCUCACUUUUCAGCUGAAUCAAGGAAUGUGCAUCUUGGGUUGUGUACAGACGGAUUCAACCCAUUUGGGUCAUUUGCUGCUCCUUAUUCUUGUUGGCCGGUCAUACUCACAGUUUAUAACUUGCCACCGGGAAUGUGUAUGAGGCCGGAGUUCAUGUUUUUAUCUACUGUCAUACCCGGUCCAAACAGCCGGGGGCGGAAUAUAGAUGUUUGUCUUCGACCGUUGAUUGAUGAGUUAGCGCAGUUGUGGUCCUCCGGAGCUCUGACUUAUGAUAUAUCGAGGAAACAAAAUUUCCUUAUGAGGGCAGCUUUGAUGUGGACUAUCAAUGAUUUUCUAGCUUAUGGAAUGCUUUCUGGUUGGAAUACGCAUGGGAAACUCGCAUGUCCAUACUGCAUGGAAAACAACAAGGCAUUCACGCUAGCAAACGGAGGUAAAGCUUUUUUUUUUUUACUGUCACCGUCGCUUCUUGCCAUUUAAUCAUAGGUACAGAAAGAACAGAAAAGAUUUCUUUGUUGGCAGAGUUGAAAAAGAUGUUGCAUCCCCGCGUCUUUCUGGUGAAGAAUUGCAUGAUGUUGUCUCAGACUACGGUGACAUUGUGUUUGGCCUUCAAUCAGGUAAGCAAAAGUUUCCUGGUUUUGGUUUGACCCAUAAUUGGGUAAAGCGAAGUAUCUUUUGGGAGCUUCCUUAUUGGAAGACCAAUCUGCCCCGCCAUAACCUUGACGUCAUGCACAUCGAAAAGAACAUGUUUAAGAACAUUUUCAACACCGUUAUGGAUGUGAAGAUGGAUGUGAAGGGGAAGACAAAGAACAACAUCAAGGCUAGAUUGGAUAUAGCUUUAUACUGUAACCGUAAAAAUAUGGAGUUGGUUUAUGAUGAGUCACGGGUCGCAAAACCAAGAGCAAGCUUCGUGUUAGAGAAAAACACACAACUGCUCGUCUACAAAUGGCUUAAGAGUCUGCAUUUUCCAGAUGGACAUGCAUCGAACAUAUCAAGGCUGGUUAAUAUAGAGGACUGCAAAUUGUAUGGAAUGAAGAGUCAUGACUGCCACGUGUUUAUGCAAACACUCAUCCCAUUAGCUUUUCGUGAUUUGUUGCCAAAGGGAAUAUGGGAUGCACUCACGGAGAUCAGUCAUUUCUUCAGAGAUAUAUGCUCCAGCAAGUUGAAUGUUGAUCACAUUGAGAGGCUUCAAACGAAUAUCGUCGAGACACUAUGCAAACUUGAGAUGAUAUUCCCUCCAUCAUUUUUUGACUCAAUGGAGCAUCUCCCUAUACAUCUACCGUUCGAGGCAAAAGCUGGAGGACCGGUCUAAUAUAGAUGGAUGUACUCAUUCGAACGGUUAGAUAUUACAGUUGCAAUGUAAUUCAUAUAUAAAAGUAUUUUAUAUGUUUUUCUUAAAUUAAAAUACUUGAUUAAUAUUUCAAUGUAGGUACUUGUUUAAUCUCAAGAAAAAGGUUAAGAACAAGGCGUAUGUUGAGGCUUCGAUAUGUGAGGCCUAUAUUAUUGAGGAGAUCUUAACAUUUAUCUCGUACUAUUUCGAACCUCAUCUGAGAACGAGAAUCAAUCGCGUUCCACGGCAUGAUGAUGGCGGUGAAGUGCCUUCCAGUGGGAACUUAUCAAUAUUCUCCAAUAUUGGACGGCCCACACCUAAAAAUGUCGUAAGAGGAAGAUAUUUGUCGGAAAUAGAGUUCAAACAAACACAUAACUAUGUUCUAGUUAACUGUGAUGAGCUGAGACCUUUCAUUCAGUAAGUUUAUACUAAUUAAACUUUGUUAGUAAUAUACUGUUAAUUAUAUAUUGUAAUAUCAUACACUCAUCAUAACUUGUAGGCAACAUCGACAAUAUUUGCUCUCCAAUAACUCACAGCUGACCGAAUCCCAGAUCUUUCAAUUACAAGAUGAACAGUUUGCCACAUGGUUCAGAACACAUGUAAGCACUAUCACAAACUCAUUCUAACUUGCAAAAUUAUUGUACGUAUGCAUGUCAUUACGAGAUUCUCAUUCAUUUACUGUUUAUUGAUGUACAUUACAUACAAGGUUUAUCAAAUGGGAAGGAGUGCGCCUAAGUCAUUGUCUUCACUAAGCCUAGGGCCUGAAAGAAAAUGUAAGUGCUACAACAGGUAUUUUUUCAAUGGAUAUGUUUUCCAUACUGAAGAAUACGGGUAAGGAAGAAAGAUAUACAACAGUGGUGUUUGUGUUAAAAGAUCCACUAGUAGUGAGUUAGAAGUUGACUACUAUGGUAGAUUAGAAGAGGUCGUCGAACUGGAAUAUCAUAACGAGUAUAAUAGAGUGUUUUUAUUCAAAUGCUAUUGGUAUGACACGAUUGACAGAGGAAUCAGAGUUGAUCCACACUAUGAUCUGGUCGAAAUCAACUCAAAAGCUAGACUCCGCAACAUAAACGAUGUCUUUGUUUUCGCAAAGCAAUGUCAACAAGUUUUUUACACAUACACCCCUUCAUUUAGAAAGGAUCGAUCAUGAGUGGAUUGGUUGUCCGUUUUAAAAACGAAACCCCGGGGUCGUGUCGAGGUUGUUCAGGAUGAGAACGAAGACACAAGUGUGCGAGAUGAAGUCUUUCAAGUUAGUGAGUUGGUUGAACCAUAUCGAGUUGCGCCUUCGAUUGAAUUGGAAGAAAAUUCAAAUUUUCGUGUUUUCGAUGAUAGUCGUGUUGAUGUUGAUGCAGAGGAGUUGAAUUUUGUUUUGAGCUCUAGCAGACAAGCAAAUGUCGAUGAAGAAGAUGAUAUCCAUAUUGAAGAUUGCGAUGAAGGUGAUGACAAUUCAAUUGAUGACGAAGAAGAAGAAAAUUCUGACUAACUACCAAAAUGAAACCCUGUGUAAAACCCUUUUUUUCAUGUAAUUUAGAUUAUGGAUGAUAUAUUUUGUAACACGAAAUAUUUAUUACUUGAAAUAAUUACUUGAAAUGCCACAAUCACGAAAUAAUUACUUGAAAUAAUUAUAGAUCAUGGAUAAUAUAUUUUGUAACACGAAAUAAUUACUUGAAAUGCCACAAUCACCGACGUCCCUACCGACGGAUAGGCAUUUCACAGAGAGUUCGAAAAUAAUUACUUGAAAUGCCACAAUCACCGACGUCCAUGCCGACAUAUUUAUAUCCGUCGGCAUUUCACAGAGAGUUUGGAAAUAAUUGCUUGAAAUGCCACAAUCACCGACGCCCAUGCCGACGGCUAUAAGUCCGUCGGUAAGUUGUCGGCGGGUCAAGUUUACCGAUAAAAUUACCGACGGACCGCGCGAAUUCCAAAGGGUUGUGCAUUAAAUGCAUAUCUGACCGCGUCAUAGUGCCGACGGAAUUACCGACGGACCACGAAAAAAAUGGAGGGUCAUUAAAAAUUUUGGUGCGAAAUUCAAAAUUUACCGACGGAUUUUUGACACUUCACCGGCGGAAUAAAUUAAAAUAAUAAUUAAUUUUAUAUCCGUCGGUAAAACUACCAUAUAAGUCCCCCGACCGCCUCUUCAGUUCAUUUUUUCUUCUCCUCAGUUUUUCACCGACUCUUUUCCUCUCCAUUCUUCAAAGGUUUCACCAGCAAUCUCUAGCAACUUUUCUCGUGAAUCUCUAUCAGUUUAAAAGGUAUGUGUUUCUUCUAUUUCAUUUUACUUUAAGGGUUUUUUUUUUUUGUUAUGUUUUUUGUUUUGGUGUAUUUUUUGUAAUGUAGAUAAAGUCUAUAGUUUUUUUUGCAUAAUUCAUUGCUAAAGUUUAUAGUUUUGUUUUUGAAUUUUUUUUGAAUAUUUUUUAUCGUUGUAUUGACAUAAUUAUUAUUAGUUAAUUUGUUGAAUAUUUAUUGUUAAUGUUGAAUUUACUAUAGAAUUAGUAAUUGAAUAUGUUGGAAUAAUUAUUAAUUUUACUCUAUUAUUGCAUGAUUUGUGUUUAAUUUUUUCCAUUUAUUUUGAUUGUUAUUCUAGAGUUUUUUUUUUAAUUUAUUGUUUUGUUGUAUUGGCAUAAUUAUUGAAUAAUUUUUUGAAUUGUAAUUGUUAAUGUUGAAUUUACCUUAGUAUUAGUAAUUGAAUAAUUUGGAAUAAUUGUUAAUUUUACUCUAUUAUUGCAUGAUUUAUGUUUAAUUUUUUCCAUUAAUUUUAAUUGUUAGUCUACAGUUUUUUUUAUUUAUUGAAUAUAUCUUAUUGUUGUAUUGGCAUAAUUAUUGAAUAAUUUGUUGAAUUGUAAUUCUUAAUGUUGAAUUUACCUUAGGAUUAGUAAUUGAAUAUGUUGGAAUAAUUAGUAUAGAUUGGGUCAAUUGGUUGUGGCUUUUGUUAAUAUGUGCAGGUUUGUUGAUUUGGGUAGUAUCCAGUAUAGGGGAGGUGCUCUCGAAUUUGUUUUUUAACAUUUGAAUUUAAUUAUAUAAUUAUUUGUAUAAAAUUGUGUAGAUGCGUAGAAUGAAAACCAGAGUUGGUCGCUCACGUACGGUCGCACCUACACCACUUGCGCUGUCAACCGAUGCUGCCUCUUCCAGCGCUACUUCACAGCGCAGAGGUGGGGUGCCUUCACAGCGCAAUCAAUUUACCCGCAAGUACGAGGCACAGUGGAAGGACGACCUUAAAUGUAAGUUUGUUAAGGUUUUAAUUUUUUUUUUUAACAAAAAUUACAACAUAAUUUAUGAAGUAAUCACUAUUUAAUUUAUUUCAUUUAUUUUCAGGUUCACAAACAUUGAGGCCGCCCGAGUAAUAUCAUCGGCGUUUAAAUCGUCGAUGGAGAUUCCAUUGUUUCAAUGGAGUCAGAUAUCCAAGCAUCCUGAAUGGAUGCCUCAAAUCAAUGCAUGGUUUGGCAGAUUUCAGGUUGGUGUUAAUUUAUAAUUUUCAGCUUAUUUCUAAUAAAUUAUUAAUAUAAUUGUAAAUAAAUUAUUUUUUUAUUUAAACUUGUUUAUUUAUACACAGCACAAAUUCUGCUGGACAGUGAGCAUAACACUGUUGUGAGGAGGGUGUGGGAAAAUCACGCGGCAACUAGAUAAGAUCGAAAACAAUACAAGAUUUUUUUUAGACAAAAAUUUAUGUUUCGAAAUGUAAUUUUUGGUUGCGUGAAGUAGGUUGCGUGAUUUUUGGUAUGAAGCACAAAAAAGGGCAAAACAAACCGCAAGGGAUAGGGGUUUCCAAGGCUAGAACGAUGUUGCGGCUUGGAGGGAUUUCAAACCGAUAUACAUCCCGAAAGAUAUAUGGCCGCACUAUCUUGAGCACGUGACGUCUGAGCGGUUCACACGACGCUCACAGUCCGGUGCUAGCAACCGGAAUCGGCCAAUUCAUGGCUCGGUGACAACGCACACUGGCGGCUCUGUUCCGUUUGCUGCACAUGCGAAACGGAUGGUAAGAUUAAUUUAAAUGAAAUAUAUCGUUAAAUUAAGUUGUUGUUAAUAUAUCUUUUUUCAUUAUAGGCUGCGUCUCUUGGACGUGAGUCGAGCCCGAUGGAGCUGUUUGUGAAGACGUACGUGCGGAGUCAAGACCGCCAAAAGGAGGCGCAACAGUUCGUUGAUAACCGUGCUCAACAUUUCGUGGUAUGUUUGUUCAACCAUUUUAUUUUGUAAGUUAUUAUGUUUAUUGAAUUGAAUAUGAUGAUUACUUUUUUUAUUUUCAGGAGACCUAUAAUAAUCGAUUGAGGGAGAGAUACGGGGAUGAUAUUUUAACCCAUCCGGAAUUCGAUCCGAAUUUGUGGAUAGAGGUUGGAUCGUCAGGUGGACCCGAUAAAAAUCGGGUUUACGGGCUCUCCAACACUACGGCCGACAACUUGUGGUCGACCCGUAGUGUUUCGACCGUUGGGAGCUCCCAAUCAAUAUCGAGCUUCCAAUCUAAGGAGUUCGUGGCCUUGCAGCAACACACGGCUCAUCUCACCGACAAAUACGACCACCUAUCAGCGGAGUACGCACAAAUCAAAGCGUCUCAUGCACAACAAAGAGCGGAGUCUGAGCAAAUCAAAGUGUCUCAAGCACAACAAAAAGCGGAGUAUGAACAACAAAAAACGCCUUAUGAACAGCUUCGCGAAAUGAUCAUGAACAUGGCAACACAUAGUGGAACAUGUGCGCCUAAUCCUUUUUGGCCGUAUAACCACCAGCCUCCUCCAGGAUCUUCUCCUCCUCCUCCAGCUCCACCUUUAUAUUAAUUUGUAAUAAACAUUAUUUACCUUUAAAAUUUCAUUUAAUAGUUUUUUUGAAACACGUUCAUUUUGUAAUGAAUAUUAUUUAACUUUGUUUUUUUGUUUUUUAUGUUUAAUAUAAAUUUUAUUUGCAUAAUUGGUUUUUAUUACCAUUAAUUUAUAUAAUUUUAUAUUAUAUAUUCUAAAUAAUUUUUUAAAAACAAAUUUAGAAAAAACUAUUACAAAGGGUUUUACCAACGGAAUGAAUCCAUCGGUAUUUGACAGUAUCAUUCACCGACAGCUUUACCGACGGACUUAAUCUGUCGGAAUUUGACAGUAGCUGCCACACUUACCGACGAAUUUACAUACGGAUAUAUUCAGUCGGUAUCACAAACACUCACCGACACAUUUACCGACGGAUACAUAUCGUCGGUAAAGCACGAUAUCACCGACGGAACAAAAUCCGUCGGUAUAUUUCAAGCGGGAAACUUUUUUUUGGCGCGCAAAUUCUGUCUGUAAAACCAUCGGCAAAUGGUUUUUUUGUUUUUCCGACUGAUAUAGCGACGGAAUUGGGAAUCACCGAUGAAAGGAAAGCCGACGGACGUAAUCCGUCAGUGAAGACGUCGGUAAAUAAAUCAUCGACGAAUAGCUAAUCACACACCGGCGGAAUAUGUCCAUCGGCAAAACUGUGAAAUCUUGUAGUGAAAGAGAGUUAGGUUAAUCAGGCUCUGAUACCAUAUUCACAGAAGAAAAAGAUUUGCCAACUCAAAAUUAUUUUACAUUGAAUCUGUCGCAGCAGCUAUAUACAAAAAUAUUUUUCUAUAUUGUGCUAAGCUAUUUUUGAAAUAAGAGUUACAAUAAAAAUAGAUGUCCUUGACAACAUAUGUUUCCUAAUACAUUACGCGAACAUAUGAGAUAUUGUUGAUCCUUUCUUAACAUAACGACACAAAAAUUCCCUAUCAAGAGAGACAAUAUCAGCAGAAAAGGAAAAAAGAAUAUGGCGGGCUGAGCUCUUCAUUUGGUGUUUGAGUCAUCACAUUCAGAAGACAGCCACAGAACCGAUCAUCUGGAGUUAUAACCAAUUCAAAAAUUCGGUUAAAUGUAUUCACAACAUCAUCAAUGCGUUGGGCUUUUCCAUAGCACUGGAUAAGUGAUGUCAAGAUAAAAAUAUUUGGCUGAAAGCCUGCUUCGAACAUCUCAUUCAACGUAUUCUCUACCUCCGACACUUUCCCACAGCAUGAGAAAACGCCAAAACGGUAAUCAUGGAUGAGAAAGUCCAACUAUCAGGCUUGAUUCCAGAACUCUUCAUGUCCUCAAAAAUCUCAACAGCUUUAUCCACGUGGCCAAGAUCAGCACACAUAGCCAAUAUGGAAUUAUAAAGAACUACAUUCAAUCCCAACCCAUUUUCCUAUAAAUUUUAAACGCAUCAUCUCCAUAACGAGCUCUACCAUACGCAUGCAGAAGAGCUGCAUAUGUCACAAAACUUGGUGACAACCCACUAUCAAUUAUAUCCUGAUAGAAUUUCUUCACCUGCCAAGGCCUCUUGGCUCUUCCCAUGGCAUCUAACAAAAUGUUGUAUAUGACCAAAUUUGGCUUAACACCUAAAGCCUUCAUUUCUUCAUAAACAUUCAAACACCCAUCAAAAUUCCCAGCAACCUUAUAAAUCCUAAUCAAUGUAGAGAACGUCGUUGCAUCUAGCCGCCACUCCCCCGUUCUAGCACGGUCAUAUAAGCUCAAUGCCUUUUCAACAUUACCAGCCCGCCCAUACGAAUCAAUCAUAGUCGAAAAGGUAACAUCGUCAGGUUCAAGGAUUGAAGAAAGCAAUUGAAAGUUAAAGAAACGGAGGUGCACGCACCAGCACCAUCACCAUGGAAAAUGGAACCUUUUGCUUUUAUUUGCAAUAAUUGUAAGUAAUUACGUGACCCUACAAUAAUAUUUAUACAUCUCACCAACCUUGUUGACCUUAUUGUUUAAUCACAUAAGAUGGUCUCUCUGCGUCAAAUCUUAUAAAUCAUAUGAGUUUAUUUAUAAAGUUUUAUGGAAUGAAAAAUAUAUUAUCAAUUAACUAACAUAAUUUGCAUAGCCAGUCUUUAAUUAUAUUUUGUUUAUAAGGAUUUAUGGAAUGAAAAAUAUAUUUUAAAACAAAAACAAUAUUAUAAGAAAACUAUCAUUUACAAAGUACGGUCGAAUGAUGUUGUUUCUGGGCAUUUCAUCCGGCAAAAAAAUGACGAGAGAAUAGAUGGAGAUCGAGGGGUUUUUUGAAACAGAUAAUAUAUAGCACUUUGGAAGAAAACAUCCAAAGGGACUAUACAAAGAUAAGAUAGCAUAAAAAACAAAGACUAGGUAGUAAAGCCUCCCAUAUUUGCUGACCAAACAUGUAAGAAGCCAUCAACAAUGGAAAAACUGUGACCAUUUUCUUGAAAAUACUAGCUAGGCACAAAGUCGUGCAUCAUCUAGCUAGAUGAAAGAGGUCAAAACAACAGCAGCAACACAAAAGGGAUGAUAUUAUAAACACAACAACACUAAGGCCCAUCAUGACCACUGGAUUUGAAUCCAACGUUUGAUGUUGGACGUUGACUCAAAUCAUCGGUCUUCUGAACUUGAUUUCCCUUUACAUCAUUUGCAUGUCGGGGGAUAGUAGUACUCUUCAUAAACAUAUGCACUUCUGCACACAUAGUAACCCCUACUUCGGCAACUACAACAACCAUCUCCCCAUAGAUCACACUCUGACCAUCUACAAGGUACAUGAAAAUAUGGAGGUACUGUUGGCAUACAAAAGUGAUGACAACAUGGGCCUCGGCGGCAUUUUUCACAACAUGUGCAUGUGCAUGGUGGUGGAGGUGGUGGUGGUGGUGGUGGAGGUGGAGGUGGAGGUGGAGGUGGAGGAGGUGGAGGAGGUGGAGGUGGAGGUGAUGGCAGCUUGAUCUCAAUGCACUUGACAGCUUCACCUCCUUUGCAGUAUAUUUUUUUCUUAAUCUUUUCAGGACAGCAACACACCACAGAGAUUGUCACUGUAUUUGCCUUCUUGUCAUAUAUCUGGUUCUGGAUUUCUCUUGUUCGUUAAUUAACAUCAUCAAAUCCACAAAACUUAGUCACUUCCUUUGGUAAUAAAAACAACUCAAACCUAGCACUGUUUUUAAAGAGAGAAAAAAAAGACUCACGAGGGAUACCACACAGUACUUUCUUGAUUUUCUUGUGGCAUUUUUCGCAUCCAAGGUCAACCACCUUAAUCACCAUCGUUGUGACUUUCUGUAACAGUACUAGUUAGUGCAUGCAAUUCAAAUAGGACCUCACCAUGAUUAAUCCCAAUAGAAAAACAAAGAAAAUCUCACGAUAAAUUUAUAGACAGAAAGAUUGGAAGAACUCAAAACAUGUUCUGACAUGGAAGAAUCCGCUGUAGAGAUUAUAUAUCAAGAACUUGUACAUAUAUAGGACAUCCACGUAAAAAGAAGAAAAAGGCCACAGAGAUGCAUUAAAAGAUAAAUCAACACACACAAAUAUAUAUCAUACCGUUUCUACCAUGGUUUUGUGUAUGCGUGGAUCCGAUGAGACGAUGGAAAUAUGGAGAGUGUAUAUAUAGAGAGAGGUGGGGGGGGGGGGCGGCCUAAUUUAAUUAAGAUAAAUUAAAUUAAAUGUGAGGCCUUAAUUUAGUUGUCCUUGCAUUUUGAGACCAAUAAGAUGAGGAAAUAUGGACUUGGGAGAGUGGAAACUUGAUGCAACCAUCAUGAACAUCGUCGCUGCUGACCCCACAAUCUUUCAUCAGCAAGAGAUGGUUUUGAUGUGCACAGCUCACCUUCUAUUUUGUUAAUCAAUUCUAAGGUUAAGCAAGGAUAGCCGCCGGGGUUAAAGAAAUUGAUAGUGGCAUUUAUAUAUAUAAAAAAAUUACUAAUUUGGUGAUGUUCAAUUGUGCUCCAUGCACGCCCACACCCAGCACAUGGCAUCCGUAGGUAGUUGUUUUUUUUACAUAAAAAAUAUUAAUAUUCAAGAGUGUUAGGUGUAUUUAUAAAACUAGAUUUAAAAGUCUUGGAUCUACUGCAAUGCCUGAUUAAAAAAUAAUAUUUAUAAUAUUAAUUAUAAUACAAAUAGUAAUAUUUUAAUAUAAAUAAUAAUAUUUUUAAUAUUAAUAAUAAUAUUAAACUUGUUUAGUCCAAGUUCUUACAGUUUUUUAUCCCUUAAAAUUAAAUUUAUGGUCUUUUUUCAAUAGUAAAAAUAUUUUAAAAAAAAUUAUUAAUAAUCAUAAUGAUAACAAUAAUAAUAACAAUAAGAAUAAUAAGAAUACUACUAAUGAUUAUAAACUUGAGUUUGGUGCCACAACUAGACCUAUGUUUCUGGCUCUGGUUCCUCUUAUAAUAAUAAUAAUAAUAAUAAUAAUAAUAAUAAUAAUAAUAAUAAUAAAAUUAUUUGACCCAAGUUCUUAAAGUUUUUAAUUUCUUCAAAUUAAAUUUAUGAUUUUUUUAAUAGUAAUAAUUUUUUUCAAAUUUAAUAAUAAUAAAAAUAAUAACAACAUUAAGAAUAAGAAUAACACUAAUAAUCAUAAUAAUAAGAAGAAUAACAACGAUGACAACAACAACAACAACAACAAUAAUCUUUAAUUUUAAUCUUCAAAUCAAAUCUAUGGUUUUUUUCAAUAGUAAUAAUAUUUUUAAAAAAAUUUAUUAAUAAUUAUAUUAAUAAUAAUGACAAUAAUAAUAUUUAUAAUAUUAAUAAUAAUAUUAAACAUGUCUAACCCAAACUCUUAUAGUUUUUAAGUUUAUCCUUCAAAUCAAAUCAAAUAAUAAUAAGAAAGUUCGUCAAACAAAAAGAACAUUGAUCGAGUUUGCAGUCCUUGACAGAGAUGACAUUGACACUUCUUGCUCAUGCUUGAAAAAUUGACCACCUGGGAGUAAUACAGUUGACCCUGAAAAGAAAAACAAACAAUAUUUAGAUCAACUUGAGGCAAAGAAAGAAUCAAAUGAUGAGUUAGCAAAGUACAUCAAAAUUAUGUUUAGUAUCUAACAAUGAAAAAAGCCUCUUGAUUAUAGACAGAAGAACAAGCAUACUCAAAUCAAUUAGGGGCAAUGAUGUUCAAGAACAAUCUAUGAUCUAGUAAAUUCUAGCAACAAUUAAGAGCAAUGUUGCAUUUGAAGAACAUCUUCAUAUCUUCAUCUUGGAUUUACCCUUUGAAACAUGGCUAUGACUCCUAAAAGAUGUUACCACAUGGUUGCUUUUGAAUGAAUAUCAGAAGGAUGAACACUAUCAAUAUUGAUUGUGGGACAAUGCUGCAUUUAAAAGACAUUUUCAUAUUGUCAUCUUGGGUUUCCCUUUAAAACAUGACUAUAACUCCUAACAAAUGUUAUCAUAUAGUGGCAUUUGAAUGAAUAUCGAAAUGAUGCACACCACCAAGACUAAUUAUGGGACCAUCUAUUUUGAAGCCCAAGGUGCACUUCAUUGUAUAAAUAUAGGUAACAAAUUGAACAUAAUUAAUGAUGCCAAUACAUUUCUUUUCAUAAUCUGAUUUGACAAGCUGAGAGGAAUUCAUUGAUAAAAACACUGAAUAUACAACAAAGAGCCUUUUACUGCAAGAUAUGAGAAGCAUGUUUAGACGACUGAAUAGUUUCCAAGAAGGUUGAUGAUAACGUAUCCGUGAAGAGUAUUGUUUCAACUAAAGGCAAGUCCGUUGUUGAUUAGCAAUCUAAGAUGAGGUCGACACUAGAAAACUUCUUGAUGGGUGUUGGUAGGAUGCACACAACUAAUUAGAGAACAAUUCUCAAGAGAAUCCAGGAGAUGAAUGACUUGUUGAGCUUUUUCAUGAUGAAUUAAGCAACACCACACUUGAAGGCAUUGUUAAGCUUGAUAAACAACGAAAAUAGUAAUCGUUGUAGACAGCCCCGAAUGGGCACUACAUGCACAUUUGAAUGGAAGACUAGUAUGCGAAUGAACUAGUUAGUUAGAAGAACAAAAAAAGCUUUAGGUAACAAACAAAGACACCCUAUGACAAUGGAACAUUAAAGAGGGGGGGACCUAUAUUUCAAACCAAGUAAAAAGACAUGCAUGCCAUCUAACCUCAAAGCAUCGCACAUAUAUUUUGAAUUGUUACAGGAAAAAUCCUUAGUGAAAUCCAGUAAGAAUGUGGACAAAUAAAGAAUCAUUGAGUUAAUAAUAACAAAGAAUUACAGUUUUGAACCUCGAAUGAGAAGAAAAUGAGGCGAACCCUACCAUUAGGAAAAUCUCAAAGAAACGAGAAGAUCAACCCUGCCAGUGGUGAUCCUUACAAAGUGAGAGGAACCCUACUAUUAUGAAAUUCCCAAAGUAAAAACAAGUUUGAACCCUGCCAUCAGGAAGAACACACAUAUUUUUUGUUCUGAUUAAAGGAGAUUGCCAAAAGAGAUCUUAGGUUAACCCAACCACACAUAGUUCUUUUAGUUUUGGUUAAAGGAGGUCACCAGAUGGGAUCUCAUGUUAACUCAACCAUACAUUUCUCUUAGUUCUGGUUAAAGGUGCGACAGUCACCACAACUCAUAAAAUAAGAUGAAUUGCCUACCCAAGGAGCUCUCCACGUAAAAUUACUAUGAUAAAGUGCUUGGUAUUUUUUUCACUUAUGCUUUCUUAUCUAGGUCGUUUCAUUUUUUGUUUAAAAUCAGUCCAAUAUUAAACAACCAAAAAUUAUUGAAAACUUCUCUUGAUGUUUUCAAGUGAUUGACUAUCCACAUAAAUAGUAAAGGAACACAACACAAUAUCGCUCUCUUUCUAUGUAGUCUACGAUGGGUUAGGGAUAAGAGAGUUUUAGCCAAAAUAGUUGAGAUAAGGUUAUUCUUUGUCUAUUUAUACUCAACAAAGACGUUGACAACUUUAAUAUUGAUGAUCCCAAUGGCUUCUAAAGGGAAAAAAAAAAACUAAUUGGAAGAUAGCGAAAGCAACUACUUAGUAUUUCUCUUCUCUUGACUUUUCAUUGUUUUUAUCUGUCUUCAGCUUAUUCUCAAUCAACUUCCACUCAUGUUACUUCUAGAAUAUGGAAUUAAUAUUAUCAUCAACAAAUGAUUUGGUUUUCGCAAUGUUGCGGGACAUGUUAAUGUUUUUUAAAGGUAAAAAAAUGAUGAUACUCUUUUUAGAAGAUUAAUGAAAAUUUAGAAUUUGGUUCAAUAAACUUGAUUAAUUUAAUAAUAUAAUUAUAAAAAACAACAAUGAAUAAUAAAAUAAAAUAAAUUCUUGUCAAUAUCAUGAAAAGAUACCCUUUAAUUAUUCUUGUAAGGUCUCAACAAUUUUAUUUGAUAACAAAGAAAAAAUUGUUUGAGAAAGGGUAAUUUCAUAAAGACAAAAAUAAUAAUAAAAACACAUUCAAAGCUCAAUCACUAGAAAAUCAAAUUGAAGGAUUAUUGAAAAAAAAGAAAUUAAAAAAUAAUAUUUAAAUCUUUUGGGUCUGGCAUGACCUUCAUACUCAAGGCUCUUAGAUCUUACAUGACUGUCUGAUACAAUUUACUUGAGUCUGAUAUAAUUAUCAGAUGCAAGAAGCUUAAAAUAUUAUCUAUACUCGUAAUAUUUUUUUACAUUUAAAAGAAAAUAAUAUUGACCUGUUGUGCAUUACAGAAAAUGUACUAUUAUGUGAUUGUGUGUGUGUGUGUGUGUAACAAAUGAUUUUAGGGGUGUGAUUGGCAGGGAAAAAAAAGAGUCCAAAUGAUUGGUGUUAUGAAUUGGUUGUGGCCUGCCAAUACUACCAGGUCCACUUGAUUAAUAAAAGAAAAGGUCAUCAAAGUCAGCAAUUUACACUUGGGUUAUUUUUUAAAAUUCACUUUUUAAAAAAAUAAAAAUCAAACAAUAAAAUAAAGGCUGGCAACGUGAAGAAAGUAGGUCGGGAAGAAUUUCAAAAAAAUACAGAAAAAAUCAAGUUGUGAUUUAGAAAGAAAUUCAAGACCUAAUUGUACCCCAUUUGUGCCUAAAAAUAGAGAAAAAAAUAUAAAUUAAAUGUCAAAUUAAAUGAUUAUUAGAUGAAUUUGCAUAAUAAUUAAGUCCAAUGACAUAAUUAAAUUUUUAAUAGGCCAAUUUGAUUUUAUUAUGGGCCAAAUUAAAUUUUAAUUAUGUUUAAGAAUUAAUUUGGGUCCAAUUGAAGGAUUUAAUUAAGUGCAGAGACUUAAUUAUACUUUAAAUGAGUCAAAUUAAUUUAUUAUAGGCUUAAUUAGUGAAAAAUUAAGUUUGGGAGUUCAAUUUGGGUUUAAUUAAGAAUAUUAAAAUUUUCAAAAAUCAAAUUUAAUUUAAUUUUGAUUUCUCAAUUAGGAUUAUGAUAUGGAACAAUUAUCACAAGAUUUGAUGGAUCUAAUUGGAAAACAGAAACUAUCUAAGAAAAUAUCUAAAUGAACAGUCUAACUUAAAACAAUAAUAAUAGAAGAUCCGAAUGUUACUUCUUGCUCAAAUUUUUCUAAGAGGCUCUCAAGAUUGUCUUCUUAUGGGAAGAUAAUUUCUUAUUUAUUGAACCGUUGACUUUCCAAAAUUAAACCUAAAAGUUGUUGGGUGUUUCAUUUUUUAUUAGAGAAUAUUAUUCAAAUCUAACUAGAUUUCUCUAUGGUUGUGUUCGUAACCUUAAAAUUUAAAAACCCUAAUUUUAUCUUCAUUGUUAGAAUUUCUUGAUAGAAAAUGUUGAUUUUUCAAUAAAAUGAUGUGCGAGGGAAAAAUCUUAGGCGACAGAGUUGAUGGAAAAUUUGUACUGGGAAAAAAUCAAGACUGCCUAAAUAGUUGGGGGCAUUUUUUAGGUUUGCCCCCCUUUUUUUUUUUUUCAUUUGGAGCCCAAAAUUUCAAAUGCUAUUAAGUAAUACUCUAAUAAAAGGUUUGAACUGUUUAUCAAGAAAUAAAUCAUUGUGGAUUGUAAUUAUUUUUUAAUUUUUUUACUGUACUCUCAUAAGUUCAAAUUAAUGACCAAUUAAAACAUUUUUAUUAAGGAAGAGAAAAAUUCAAAAAUAAAGGAUUAAAAUGAAACAUACAACAAAAAAUAUUUUUGCUAAAACUAGAAGAACUAAACGUAUACUUUAAUCUUCCAACUUUUUAGAUUAUAAAUUUUUAGUCACUAACAAUUUAUGAAAUUUAAUUUUGAUCCCAAAUUUUAUUUUUUUUAAUUUUUGAAUUCCUGUUUUGAGAGAGAAGAAGAAAAGUGGUUGGAUUCUGAUUGUAAAAAGAAAAAGUCUUAAUUGAGAUUGAUUUCAGCCAUAAAAACAUGUGAUUUUAGUUUCAAUAAUUUACUUUUGACAAGUAAAGUUUAGACAAAGUAUUAUUUUUACUUUAAACUUGCCUAGAAUUUUAGAUUUGAACUCGAAAAGAAUUAUGAUUUCGGAUUCAUUAUGAAUUUUGGAGAUAAUUUUUGAGUUAUUAAAGGCUAUAAAUAUGUUUUACAAAGUAUUUAGAGUGUUUUCAUGGUUUUUCAGGUUGAAAUAUUGUUAAAAAUAGUUUUUUUUUUUUUUGAUAAAGAUUAGCUUGAUUUUCAGGUCAUAAAAGUCUAGUUUCCUUCAGCUGGGUAGAGAUUAAGCUUAAUAAUUUCUUUUUUGUUGAAUAAAUAGUUAUCAAUUUAUUUAAUUAAAUGUAUGCAUGAAUUUUUUAAAUUUCAUUUAAGAUUUUUUUUUAUGUACAAAAACAUAUCGUAAAAAUCUGAAUACAUAUUUUUCUAAAAAACUUUAUUCCACCUGUGAGAAAACAUGUCAAUGUAAAAAAAAAAAAAAAAACUAGUAAAAACCUACUUUCUAGUUAGACUAUGUUUGUUUUCUAGAAUUCAGUUUCCGGAAAAAUAUGUCCUCAUUAUUUUGAUUGUUACUUUUUUUAAAAAAAAUAAUUUAUGAAAUGUUAAUUAUUAUUAUUUUAAUUUCUUCAUCUUUCAUUUUUUAUAUUUUUUAGAUUUGAUCUCUAUUAUUUUGAUUAUUAUUUAUUUUAUUUGAAAUAAUUUAUGAAAUUAUAUUUUUUUUCAAUUUCAUUCUCAUUUAACUUUUUAAUUUAUAAGAUUUGUUCCUCAUUUUUUUAAUAAACUUGAGAAAAAUAAAACAUUAAUAAGUUAUUUUCCACUCAUUUUCCAUGACAUAACCAAACACUGGAAAGUGUUUUCCAACUUAUUUUCUAUUACACUACCAAACAUCAGAAAAUAAUUCACUUUCCUGAAAUUCACUUUCUCAUAAUUCACUUUUCAAAAAAAAACUACUUUCCAGCAAACAAGCAGAACUUAAUUUAUUAUUUUUCAUGUUUAAUGCCACCUAUGUGCUUUCUUCUUUAUUUUAUUUUUUUCUUUAAUCAGCUGAUAUCUGACCUUAAGCAACCAACGAAAGAACUAUCUACAGAAAAAUAAAUCUUUGUUACUCUUUUGACGUAAGCAACCAUGGCAAUUAGUUCAUUGUAAGCAAAUGCUCGAGUCUCGUUGAUUUGACGAGGCAGUCACUUAGCACUGCCGACACUGCAGACAGCAAACAAGCUAUGUUCUGUCGGAUCACACAUGCAUAUGGAAUGGAUUUUGAUCCAAUCUUAAAUAACUUUAAAUUUCAAUCCCAAAAAUGCAAGGUACAUGCUAUUCCCUCACCGAAUAAUUGCCUCAAUUAUGCAGACUAUCUAAAGAGAUGCUCAUGAAUCAUCGCACAACCAGUCAAAGCAACAUGAUUUAGGUUUUUAGAAUCUGAUCAGCUAUAUGACGAUUCAAUGGCUAAAUAUAAUGCUUUCUCUUAACGUGUAAAUUCAGAGAAAGAAAAGAUUUGCCAACUCAAAAUUAUUUUACAUUGAAUCUGUCGCAGCAGCUAUAUACAAAAAUAUUUUCCUAUAUUGUGCUAAGGUAUUUUUGGAAUAAGAGUUACAAUAGGAAUAGAUGUCCUUGACAGCAUAUGUUUCCUAAUACAUUACGUAAACGUGAAAUAUUGUUGAUCCUUUCUUAACAUAACGGCACAAAACUCCCUAUCAAGAGAGAAAAUAUCAGCAGAAAAGGAAAAGAUUAUGGCGGGCACGUACCAUUUAUGGACAUAAAAAAAGGAAAAUCUACAUGAGCAUGGCACCUAAGCAGCUGCUGCGUCAGUUGAUUUUCUAGAUUCCAACCAUGACUCAGCUGCAACCUUUGUAGUUAAGAACCAGCCAACCUUAUCAGGAGCCUCAUGGAAUGGAGAAUUUAGUUCCUUCAAAUAUGACUCGAACACAUUGGCUAAACCUUUCUCAGAAUACUUGUGUUUCCCAUGCCCAGUAUUGAUUCCAAGCAAUGGUGGAAGCUGCUCCCCUGCCUCCAGUACCUUGGACAAGUCAUUCAUCCAAAUAUGUAAUGCUGUCAUAGCUGCCCCGGGGGAGAGACUCUUUAGAUUUAGGGACCACUGGGUUGAAGUUCUGGACAUUAUAUUGGUGUAAAUUUCAAGUGUCAAUCCAAGGUCAAGCAACUCGCAAGCUCUCUCCAACAUAUUGAGCUUGAUACAGAGGUCAAUUAAGCAAUUGCAGUAAGCUUUCUUUACUUCAGUGCUAAUACUAUCAAACAGGUCAGUAGCUUCGUUCUUAAAAUUCCCCUCACUGUCUUGCUCCUCUACCAAAAGUUUAACCACAUAACCAAGCUUCGGAUUAGCCCUCUCAGCACAUUUAACAAGCUUGCUGAGCUCUUCAUUUGGUGUUUGAGUCAUCACAUUCAGAAGACAGCCACAGAACCGAUCAUCUGGAGUUAUAACCAAUUCAAAAAUUCGGUUAAAUGUAUUCACAACAUCAUCAAUGCGUUGGGCUUUUCCAUAGCACUGGAUAAGUGAUGUCAAGAUAAAAAUAUUUGGCUGAAAGCCUGCUUCGAACAUCUCAUUCAACGUAUUCUCUGCCUCAGAAACUUUCCCACAGCAUGAGAAAAUGGUAAUCAUGGAUGAGAAAGUCCAACUAUCAGGCUUGAUUCCAGAACUCUUCAUGUCCUCAAAAAUCUCAACAGCUUUAUCCACGUGGCCAAGAUCAGCACACAUAGCCAAUAUGGAAUUAUAAAGAACUACAUUCAAUCCCAACCCCUUUUCCUUCAUUUCCCUAUAAAUUUUAAACGCAUCUUCUCCAUAACGAGCUCUACCAUACGCAUGCAGAAGAGCUGCAUAUGUCACAAAACUUGGUGACAACCCAUUGUCAAUUAUAUCCUGAUAGAAUUUCUUCACCUGCCAAGGCCUCUUGGCUCUUCCCAUGGCAUCUAACAAAAUGUUGUAUAUGACCAAAUUUGGCUUAACACCUAAAGCCUUCAUUUCUUCAUAAACAUUCAAACACCCAUCAAAAUUCCCAGCAACCUUAUAAAUCCUAAUCAAUGUAGAGAACGCCGUUGCAUCUAGCCGCCACUCCCCCGUUCUAGCACGGUCAUAUAAGCUCAAUGCCUUUUCAACAUUACCAGCCCGCCCAUACGAAUCAAUCAUAGUCGACAAGGUAACAUCGUCAGGUUCAAGCCCAAAACUCGGCAUUUUCUCAAACCACUCAACUGCCUUAUCAGCUAAAUUACACAACCUAGCACAACUAAUUAUUGUCGAAAACGUAAAAUUAUCAGGCUUAACACCUCUCUCAAGCAUCUCAUCAAACAACUUCUCCGCCUUAUCCAAAUCUCUUCCUUUCCUAAAAACUUUCAAAGUCACAUUGUAAACAACAACCUCUCUAUUAAACUUCAACCUCUCUUGAAAAAACUUAAGAGCCAACAAAGCAGUGUCCGGAUUCGACAUGUUAUUAAGAAUAACAACAGCAUCUUGCUCUAACAAUUUACCAUCAAAUUUACUCAAAACAUUAAAGACAUCAUCUUUAUUUGGGCUACAAGAAUUCAGAUACUUAGCUGCAUUAACAAGUGAAGUAUACUUAGCAUCGUAGGAGCUUUUUCUGAGAAUUGAAGCUCUAGAGCUUUUGGGGUUGACCCAGAUGUAAGAUUUUGAAGAAGACCCAGUUUUUUCCUUAAAGUUUGAAUCUUUUGAGGUUUCUUGUCGUGGUAGUUCUUCGUCUUGCAAUGAGACAUUGGUUAUUUGAAGAGAGGUUGCUCUUGAUUGAGAAGAGAGAGUGUUUAUCUUCGAAGAAUCGUAGAAGUUGUUGUUUAGGUUUCUUGAUUUUGAGUCUCUUGAAGAAGAUGAAGGGGUGUUGCAGAGAGGUUUAUAGAGAGAAGAAGGUGAAGAGCAGAGGUUGUAUGCCAUUUGUGUGUCUGUGUUUUGGUUUUGGAGAGGGAAAGAAGGGGGACCUUAUCAACUUGACUAGCAGCACGAAUGAUAUUUUAGGGGUGGCAGCAACCUUCUCUAUCUACCUUCUCUCUUGUUUUAACAAAUUUAUCGCAGUGUUGUAACCACAGUGGUUAGUGGAUGUUUGGCAUAACUGUAGGUUAUUAUUUGAAAAAAUAGAAUAAAAAAAAACUUUGAAUUAUAGAUUUUUUGUAAUUAGAAUUUUAAGAAAGAGUUUUGAGUGAGAUUUAUAUAAAAUUAUAGUAUAUAUUAAUUAACUAAAUAUUUUUAAAAUUAUAAUUGAGCAAACCCAAUUUUUAUCACAUAACAUCACAUCAAACCACACUGCCAAAUAGAUUAAAUCAAGGCAGUCAAUCUAGUAAUAAAUCUGGAAUUUCGAGGUUGCAGUCAAUCUAGUAAUAAAUCUGGAAUUUCGAGGUUGUUUCCAAGUGAAUUUUUAAAUAAACUAAUUAUAUAUUAACUUAAUGAAACUUGAUACUAAUUUUCAUCUUCGAGGAGCACCUUUGGUGCAUUUGAAAUUAAUAGGAUCGAGGAUAUCUAUCAUUGCGAUUCGAUCUCCAUUCCAAUACUAUGCAUGAUCAUCACAUUGCUCAUAUUCAUGCAUCUGGUGCGUUGCCUCCAUCUGGUGCGCAGGUUUUCAUAGCUUCUUGUAAUAUGCAAAGUCCCAUCUCAAAAACAUGCCUCUUCUUUAAUUUGUGUAGUUAGCAAACACACACACACACACACACACACACACAGAUAUAUAUAUAUAUAUAUAUAUAUAUAUAUAUAUAUAUAUAUAUAUAUAUAUAUUCUUACAUCGACUCUCCUUAGAUUGCACGUACUCGGAUAUUUUCAUAGUAUUUUGUAAUCUUUUCUGCAUGCUUUGUCCAUCGACUAAUUAUAUACAUCGAGAUGGAAUUUGAAAAAUGCCUAAGCUAUGGAGCACAGGCACACACUACAUGUCUACAGAUGAUCCCCUUGUACUGAGAAGAACGACAUAGACAACUCGGCUCCUCGUCUUUCUCGUCCCAAACAACCACAAAGUCUUCUUUCAAAGUAAAAUCUUGAACCUUAAAUAUCUAUCGAGAUUGUGCCUUCACCUUUUACUUUCAAGGAAUAACAUCAAGAACUUCAGCUUGGAACUUCUUGAAGAUCUCGAAAGUAAGUAUUGAUUGUUGACGAUUGUUUUUCAAAUGGCGAUGGAGACAUCAAAGAUGGUUUCCCUACUCCAUGUGUUAAAAUCGGCAAGAGCUUCUUCUUUUUCUCUAUCCAUUACUUAAGCUUCCUUGUGCGCUUCUCUGCAAACUCUUUCAUUGUAGUUUUCUUCUUCACGUACUUCUCAAAAAAAAUAUUUUAUGCUUGCCAUCGUCACACAAGGACUGAAUCCAGGCAUUAUCAAUGGGAUCAUAACCUUUCACCAUUUUCCAUCAACAAUCCUCAAUUUUAGUUGGUUAGUUUUUUUAAUCAAACCGAAAAUACUCCCCCUUUUACUAUUGAUUUUAAUUGGUUUAAACCAUCUCUCCAUCUCCAGGAUCGAUGACUAAAUAUCUUAAUUGAACACAUUAAAAAAUAAAUUAAAAAAUCAAGCUUGUUAUACAGUAUAAUUUUGCUCUUAAUUUUUACAUCUUAUCUAAUUUUUAUAUUUUAAAAAAUAAUUGAUUAACUUGUCAAAUUCAUAGCCCGAAUUAUAAACUCAAAUAAAUUUAGUAAAUUUUAUUUUUUUGUAAGCUAUGAUUUAUUUAUUUAACAUCGAUCUAUUUUUUCUAGCAAAACAAAUAUUAAAAACACCUUAAUAUAACUCAUCUCAUCAUUGAAACCCAAUGUCAUUAAAAUUGACCUUUUUGUUGUUAGAAUGUGGUUUAUCGAGAACUUUUACUCUUUUUCAUUAUUUUCUAGCAACCUUUUCUUUCUUUUUAAACUUAGAAAUUGAAAAGAAAAAAAAAUAAAGUUUUGAAUCAAAAUAUAAAAAUUUCAAACCAAAAGAACUAAAAUAAAAGUGAAAUAAUUAUGAAGGAAAAAUAAUUCCAAAAAGGCUACUGAUGAACAACAACUAAAAAAUUCCUUUCUUUUUGCCUCACUAAUUUCCUCAAGAUUUUAAUUUUUUUCAAGCAAUAAAAUUGAUAUUUUUUAAAAAAAUAAGCACUAACCCAAUGUAAGCUUUUUCUUAUUUAUUUAUUAUUUAUUGAGACAGCAUGCUUCCUUUCUUUUUGGAAGAUUUUUUUUCUUAGAUACUUCAAUUUUGUAAAAUCUGAAAAUAAAGAAGACAGCAAACUAAUUUUUUACCCAAAAUACUUUGAAAAUAUCUUAGACAUCUUAAUAAACUUAUUUAUGUCUUCAAAAAACUAUCCUAAAACUCGAGAUCAACCCGGAACAAAAAAUUUUCUGGAACUCAUUUUUGUUUUUUAAGCAAUUUUAAAGUAAAAAACACCUAAGUUGAAAUUUCCUCAUCAAAUAGAACCAUUUGACACCAGAAUCAACCAUUUUAGUAAUCAAAAUCAAUAUCAACAAUAAUUUUCUCUCUAUCAUUGGAAUUCGACAACUUUCUCUUUCCUCUCUCAAACCAAGCAUUAAAAAAUAAAUUAACCAUAAUUUUUUUGAAACUUUAAAAAUUAGAGGGACCCAAUUGUUAUAAUUCAUAAAGAAUGAGGACUAAGUUGUACAUUUUGCAAAAAAAAAUUAAAACACCACUCAUCUCCUCUGCAUGUUUCAUUUUAGUCCUCUUUCCUUCAAUUGCACCCUUCCUUGACAAUUGUAGCUAAAUUAGGUCCUUAAAAGGCAAAAUAAAAAAAAUAUUCAUAGGCAUGGUAAAUCCAUAAUGCAAAUGAGUAUGAGUUUACAGUGCAUGAAAGAACAAUAAUCCCAGACCUUUUAGUGUUUUAGGGGUGUUUGAGUGUGGUUGCGGUUGCGGUUGCGGUUGUUUUUCAAACUGUUUUUCAUUGAAAAAUACAUCAAAAUAAUAGUUUUUUUAUUUUUUAAAAAUUAUUUUUUGACAUCAUCUCAACAAAAUGAUCUGAAAACACCAAAAAAAUAUUAAUUUGAAGCAAAGAAAAAAAUAAAUAAAAUUUAAUUUUUUUAAAAACAAUGAGGAGGAGGAGGUGGUGAUAGAGAAUUUGGCAGACCCCUCAAAAUAUUUUGAUAAAAAUACAACUUGGUCCCUGUAUUUUUUAUUUUUUAUUUUUGGAUUUUAGUAAGUAAAAACCCUAGAAGUGCAUAGCUUUCUUUCUUUCUUGGACCCGAUUGCAAAUAGGUAUAACAUCAUUGCUGAACAAAUGUUGAUAGCCUACACUAACCAAAAUUAUUAUUUUUUAAUCAUAUAGUUUAUAUUGUUUUCGCUUUGAAUCUUACCAUGAUUUAUAAACCAUCUUUCUCGAUCAUUUAAAUUGUCUCAAUUAUAAUUUUUUCCCCAAUUUUCAACUAUGAAAAAAAGAAUAAUACGAUUAAAUUGCAACAUUUUGAUUUUGUGUUUAUAAUAAGAUUCAAAUUGGAGUUUUUAGGAUCAAAGUAUGGUAAUAGAACAAAUUAAAUAAAGAUACGACUAUUAUUAUUAUUCCGUGAAGAUACUUUUUUUUUUUUUUGGAAACAAGAUAAAAACCAUGUUACAUACAAAAAAGAGAGAAAUUAUUCUCUUGUUGUAAUAACAUGAGAUGCUUUUAAUUGUCCAAAAAUGAGACUGGGCUGCUUUUCAAUCAUAUGGGCUUAGUUUUCAUGUUGCUUUUCUGCAGUUUCUAGGCUUUGUGCUUUAUGUAUCUCAUGGUUUCGGCCCAUUUUCACUUACCAAGUUUUAAAGUUUUAUUUUUCCAGAUUAAAAAAAAAAAAAAAAAAAAGCUCUGGCGUGUUUUUGUUAGAUAAAUCGUUGAAAAUAAGUCUUCCAAUCUUUUAUUUUUUUUAUUAUUAGGUUUUAAUAUUUUAGUUUUUAAUAACAAAUGAAACUUAUAUUAUUUUAACCUCAAAAUAGAAUACGUAUGGCAAUGAAUUUAUACCUUAAUCGGCGUUUAAUUUCACAUGAACCUCUCAUAAUAAUAUCUUUGAUUUUUCUAUACAGUCUUCUCCUUAGCUAUGAACAAAUUGUUUUAAUGCCAUAAAAAAAGUUUAUUUAUUUUAUAUUCUUACGAGCAUUUUAGUCUUGACGUUGACCUCAGUUCGUUUUAGAUCCCAUCAUAGAUAUUAUAAUAAUUUGUAUUUGUCCUCUAGCUAUGGAAAGUAGCGUUUGGUCCAUGGAACCUGCAUACUGUUUUUAUGUCGAUUUUGGACUCUGUUGAAACCGUAAAUAGUGCACAAGAAUCCUCGUAUGCGAGGUUAAGUUUAUGUUUGAUAAUGAGAUAAAUGGUUUUUUUAAAAAAAUAUUUUUAAAUUAAAAAUAUAUUAAAAUAAUUUUUUUAUUUUAUUUUUUGUAUUAACAAACAUAUUAAGAUUAUUAAAAAGUAUUUAUAAAAUCAUUAAAUAAAAAACAAUUUAAAAUACACUUUGAAAAGCUGAUUAAACUAUGUUAUCGAAUUAAUAAAACAUAAAUAUACUAUUGUUUUUUUGUACGAUUUAAAAAAAUCUAUAAAUUAAACCUUUUUAAAUUCAAGUUUUUACUAUUAUUUAAGAUGAAAAGCAAAUUUAAGCACUGAAAAAUUAAAUAACUUUUAAAAUUAUAAAAAGUUCUAAAACAUUAUCAAAAGAAAUCUAAAGCUAAAGAAAUUUUUCUUUUAAAAAAGAUGUCGGUUUACUUAAAGAGGGAAAAGGUGGUAGCUUGCUUCGUAGCAAUGAAAAGAAGAGAGUGAAGCAAUCGAUGUGGGAAAAGAUUAGUACUGCUGCUUCCUUCAACUCAAAGUAUUGGUGAGUUCAAGGACGAGAUGAUUUAUUGGAGAUCCAAAAGGCUUGACGCAGAAAGAGGUAACUUUUUAAUGAUUUUAUGGACCGAUCAUCACUUAUUUAAUUUUCUGAUCAUCACUUUAAAUAAAAUAAUUUCUCUCAAUAUAUAAUCAAUGUUCUGUGAAGCCCUAAUUGGCAAACAAAAUGUAUAAAGUUUUUCUUUUUUGUUGAAAAUAAUUAAAAACCAUGACCAUAUGGCAUAAGCCAUGCAUGAGGCUCCUCCACAAAACCAUGCUCUUCAAGAUUGGUCAAUAUUUGUGUUCCCAAUGGCUCUAGUCACAGCUCAUGGCCAGGUCUGCCGACAACGGUUUUGGCUACAAAUUCUUAUAAGCUGUAUUCAAAGGAUCUCAAUGGCCGGCAUUCUUAAGAUCCAUGCAUGCACUACGUACGUCUCUAAAAAAUCAUAGUUUUUUAUUAGCUAAUGUUUUUAAGAAGGGUUUUUUUAGUGAUACCAAUAUAAAAGUAUAGUACGUAUCGAUUAUUCAAAUAUUUUUAAAUAAAUGAUUGAGAUGUAUUCUUUUGCGCAAAUCUUUUCAGAUCCCACCAUAUAUGAUUAUUAUAAUAAUUUGUGUUUGUCAUCUGGCCAUUGAAAGAUUAUUUGAGCCAUGAAAGAUACAAACAACUAUGUUGAGAUUCCAUGCUUAUGUAAGGCUUAACCAAGACGAUAAGUAGGUGGUUGGCAUGGUAGCUAGGGUUUCCAAAAGUUGAAAGCACAAAAUAAAGCCAUUUAGGUAUGGGCGAAGCUUCCUUCCACUCGAAGCUACUGGUAGGCAAGUUCAUGAGAUGGGCCUUCAUCCCUUUAAAUUUCUAUUUAUUUUAUCAUUUCAUUCUAUUUCAAUGAUGACUGCCACCUACCAUAUAAUAUGUUUUAAGAGUAUUUUUUUUAAUUAAAAAUAUAUUAAAAAAAUAAUAUCAGCAUAUUAAAACUAUAAAAAAAACAUUUAAAAACAUUAAUCUAAUGUUUUUUUCAAAUUAAAAAAUACUUUAAAAAGAAAAAAGACGUGUGAAAUUCACUUUAAUGUACUGUAAAAUGAUCAAACAUCUUACUUUUUUUUACAUAUAAAGCUAGCAUGAGUAGAUAUUCAAGUAAAAUAAAGUAGAUGAGAGUGCCAUAAAAAAAAUAAAAAAAAAUUAAGUCAAAAUUAGCAUCAUUCAUAAAGUUUGGUGGCUCCAAUGGGUUACAAAGCUCAAUUUCUGUGUCGAGACUGGUUAGUAAAGCAAAAAAAUACCUUUGUUUUUUUUUUUGGGUGAAAUAAGAAAAGGGCAUCCUUUGUCACGUCAAUCUCCCUUUAUUAGUUAGAAAAGUACAUUUUUCUGAUAGUAAAAACCACGUUAAAAUUUCUUUUUCUUUUUACGCCACUUAUUUUUGUAAAAGUGCUUUUGCAUUUGUCAUGUUUUUUUAUAUCUAAAUCUUUAAAUUAAAAAAUAAUUUGGUAUUAUUUUAAUUUAUAUUAAAAAUGAUAAUAACUUGAUAAAUUUAAAUGAAUCAUUAAAUUUAAUGACAUAACUAUAAUAAUAAUGUAUAUAAUGAUAGUUGAUCUAAAACCUGAUUCAAUUCAAGUUUUAUUUUUAAUUAGAGUGAAUGUUGAAUUGAUUAUUGAGACUCAGGUUGGUUAAUUACUUAGAUUUUUUAAAAUUUUUAUUUUAAAAAAUAUUAUUUAAGAUUUUUUACCCAAAAUAAUAUUAUUUUAUAAUAUAUAUGAAUUGACUCACUGGGCUGUGAAUUGAUAUAACAAACUUGCAUUUCAGAUUCUAAAUCAGAUCUGAGCACAAAACACUUAUUUAAAACGUGAGAGAAUAGGAAUCCCAUAUUUUUCAUUGUGAAUUACACAAGAAUUUCACUCUUUUAAUCAUUAAUAUUAGUGUUUAGAGAGCAACUAAUAUAAAUUUCGUAGUCGACAACUUUACAUAAUCUCAUAUAUCAACAAAUCACGAGAAGGAAGGGAACUGCUCAAUUCAAUGAUUCUGUGAUAUUCAUGGGAGAAUUCUUAUCGCCAAGUACAAUGGUGGGAUCAUGACAGUCCACAUUCCAUUAUCUAGAUGGAUCGUGCAUGACCUAAAUUUCUGACAGCGAAGCGUCAUAAUGUUUACAAACAGAAGCCAUCGAUCAGUUACUGUCAGAAAUUAAAGAAAGCAAAUAGAAAAUGAAGGCAAAGGAGAUGCUGAGAUGCACUAUCACUAUAUAUACAAAUAGCAAUGAUUAUGGAAGCUUUAAAAUCCCUUAUAUUAAUUUAUUAAAAAUCUUAACAUCUCUUGUAAUAAAAGAUUGUUCCCACAUGAUCACCAACCUUAUUCUAUCACAUAAAAUCUUUAUAACGAAGGAAGAAGACCCAAUAUGCAGCCAAAACUGACCCCAACAUUUCAACAUAGACAACUAGCUAGCUAGACAAGGUUAUGACAUGAGCAUAAGUAAUGCAAUUGUUUAAUUUGAUCAGAUCGACACCAUACUACUGACCAAAUGCUUAAAGCAAUAUCGACAUUCUAGAUGCUUUCACAUGAUUGUGCAUGACGAGGGAUUAUCUUCACAGACAUAUUCACAUCUGCACACAUAGUAACCGCUUCUUUGGCAACCACAGCCGCCGCCGCUGCCAGCCCAACUAUCAUACACUGGCCUUCCAUAAGCUUCAUAACAUGGGGGUGCUGGCCUAGCAUUGUCAUGAUAACACGGGCCUCCACUAAUCCCAUGGUAGCAUUCAGCACAACAUGUCCUUGGGUGGACUGGUUCCGGAGCUUUAGGUGGUGGUGGUCGUGUCGGGUUUGGAGCUGGGAUUGGGGCGGGUGCUGGCCUCCUAUAGUCAUGAUAACACGGGCCUCCACUAAUCCCAUGGUAGCAUUCAUCACAACAUGUCCUUGGGUGGACUGGUUCCGGAGCUUUAGGUGGUGGUGCCGGGUUUGGAGCUGGGAUUAGGAAGGGUGCUGGCCUCCUAUGGUCAUGAUAACAUGGGCCUCCACUAAUCCCAUGGUAGCAUUCAGCACAACAUGUCCUUCGGUGGACUGGUGCCGGUUUCUCUGGUUCUUUGGGUUUCUCUGGUUCUUUGGGUUUCUCCGGUUCUUUGGGUUUCUCUGGUUCUUUGGGCUUCUCCGGUUCUUUGGGAUUCUCCGGUUGCUUAGGCUUUUCAGGUUCUUUCGGCUUCUCCGGUUCUUUAGGUUUAGAUGGUGGUGCUUUGGGUUUCUCUGGAACCUUGAUCUCAAUGCUCUGGACAGCUUCACCUCCUUUACAGAUUAUCUUUUCCUUGAUCUUUUCAGGACUGCAACAUACCACAGUGAUGGUCACUGUGCCUGCCUUCUUGUCAUAUAUCUGGUUCUGAAUUUCUCUUGUUCACAAUCCACAAAAACAACUUAGCCACUUUCCUUUCAUCUUAAAACUGCUCAAACUAAGUUAUUAUACAUGGAGAAGGAGGCACUCACGAGGGAUUCUACACAGUACUUUCUUGAUUUUCUUGUGGCAUUUCUUACAUUCAAGGUCAACCUUGAUCACCAUUAUUGUGACUUUCUGCAAUACGAGCACAUAAAAACAAGGACAUUCUAAGCCAAGAAGAAUAUUGAAAGGACUGGAACACUUUCUGACAUGGAAGGAUAUUGAUCAGUAAAGAUAAUGAACAAGAAGAUGAGGUCCAUAGGGCCAAAAACAAGGACCACAACACAUAAAAAGAAGAAAAACCCAGAUGAAUGGACUAAAUAAAAGAUAAAUCUAAACCAAUAAAAGAAGAAGAAGGAAAAUGUAUCAAAAUCUCCACAUCCAUCCAUGCACAUACCUUUUCAGCCAUGGUUUUGUCGAAGCUUUGAUCUGGACCUGAUGAGAUGAUAGAAUUGAGAGCAGAGUGAAGGAACAGACCAGAGGGUGAGAGGGAGAUAUAGAGGCUUCUAAAAUUAAGAUUGAUCACAACUUAAGUAGUAGAAGUGUGAGACCAAAGUUUAAAUACCGUGCAUCUAGAGGCCAAUAAGAAGAGAACACAUGGGAUUGGGUGUUGAGCUUGACGUCAUAUUGUCGUUUUCUUUUUUAUUGCUGACCCUCCAAACCUGCGUAUGCAAGCGCUGGCUUUGAUGGACACAUCUCACCUUCAAUUUUGUUAAUCAUUUCGAAGGCUGUUGUGCAUCCUACGGUGCAUUAGUUCAGUCAUGUCAAUAAAUGAGCCAUGCAAACCCCAUGACAACCGUACACGUGUCCCAAAAAAAUUCACCAUAAAAAAUUAAAAAUCUUCAAUUAAUAUUUCCAUAUCUCAUGUUAAAAGAAUUUAGCCGGUGUUUGAUUGUUGUUUCCUGAUAAAAACAUAGAAAACUUGAAUUAUAAAUUUAUUUUAAAAUUAUUACAAAAAACAAUUUUAUUUUAUAUUCUUAUUUUUAUCCUCCGUUCUACACUAACAACACAUAAUUUGAAGAGGUAUUAUAAUUCUAAUUAACGAGCUCCUCUGUUUCAAAAUUUGGAUUUAUAAAGUAACAUAAGAACACAUAUCUCUUUAACAACUUGUCCAAAUUGGAUUAAUUUUUUAUGAUACAUGUAAGGUAAUUAGUUGUAUUUUUUAAUAAAAAGAUAAUUAGAACAAAAAUAAUUAAUAAGUUGUGAUAUUUGUAUUACUCUCUCUUGUAUUUAUAUUUUUUCUAAAAGUACAUCUUAUAAAAUAAUUAAUAAAUUAUUACUAAUUCCCAUCAUCACCAUGGAAUACUUCAUAUAAUCUAAACGACAAAAAUCUGUAUAAUUAUAUAUAUAAUGAUAUGAAAACCAGAAAUUAGAAACCCAAGUCGUUAAGCAAGUAGCUCACCGUUUUAUCUCAUCACUUUAACCAUAAAGGUGCUAGGACAUAAAGAAGAAAGUUAACAAAUUGUGGGCCCAGAAGUUGCGUCCAUGAGUGCCGACUUUGAAAGCUGAGGCAGGUUUAACUAAUCGUUUGAAAUUACGGUCAACUGUAUUUUUUAAAAUUUUAAUUUUUUAAUAUAUAUAUAUAUAUUUGAUUGUUUUGAUAUACUGGUACAAGAAUAAAUCUUGAAAAAUAAAAAUUAUAUGUUUUAUUUUAAUAUAUUUUCAAUAAUGUUAGUGUUUAGAGAGCAACUAAUAUAAAUUUCGUAGUCGGCAACUUUACAUAAUCUCAUAUCAACAAAUCAGGAGAAGGAAGGGAACUGCUCAUUCAUGGUAGAAUUCUUAUCGCCAAGUACGAUGAUGGGAUCAUGACAGUCCACAUUCCAUUAUCUAGAUGGAUCAUGCAUGACCUAAAUUUCUGACAGCGAAGCUUGAUAACGUUUACAAAACAAAAACCAUCGAUCAGUUACUGUCAGAAAUUAAAGAAAGCAAAUGGAAAGUGAAUGGAAGGGAGAUGCUGAGAUGCACCAUCACUGUAUAUACAAAUAGCAAUGAUUAUGGAAGCUUUAAAAUCUCCCUUAUAUUAAUUUAUUAAAAAUCUUAACAUCUCUUGUAAUAAAAUAUUGUGCCCACAUCACCAACCUUAUUGUAUCACAUAAAAUCUCUAAAACGAAGGAAGAAGACCCAAUAUGCAGCCAAAACUGACUAGCUAGACAAGGUUAUGACAUGAGCAUGAGCAAUGCUAUUGUUUAAUUUGAUCAUAUCGACACGAUACUACUGUCCAAAUCCAGUGAUUUUUGGUGGAAAUCGGCUUAAGGCAAUAUCGACAUUCUAGAUGCUUUCACAUGAUUGUGCAUGACGAGGGAUUAUCUUCACAGACAUAUUCACAUCUGCACACAUAGUAACCGCUUCUUUGGCAACCACAGCCGCCGCCGCCGCCGCCACCCCAAUUAUCAUACACUGGCCUUCCAUAAGCUUCAUAACUCGGGGGUGCUGGCCUACCAUAGUCAUGAUAACAUGGGCCUCCACUAAUCCCAUGGUAGCAUUCAGCACAACAUGUCCUUGGGGGGACUGGUUCCGGAGCUUUAGGUGGUGGUGGUGCCGGGUUUGGAGCUGGGUUUGGGGCCGGUUCUUUGGGUUUUGGUGUUUCAACAAUAAGCGCUUUAGGCUUCUCCGGUUCUUUGGGUUUCUCCGGUUCUUUGGGCUUCUCCGGUUCUUUGGGUUUCUCCGGUUCUUUGGGCUUCUCCGGUUCUUUGGGUUUCUCCGGUUCUUUGGGCUUCUCUGGUUCUUUGGGUUUCUCCGGUUCUUUGGGCUUCUCUGGUUGCUUAGGCUUCUCAGGUUCUUUCGGCUUCUCCGGUUCUUUGGGUUUCUCUGGUGCUGCUUUGGGAUUCUCUGGUGCUUUGGGUUUCUCUGGAACCUUGAUCUCAAUGCUCUUGACAGCUUCACCUCCUUUACAGACUAUCUUUUCCUUGAUCUUUUCAGGACUGCAACAUACCACAGUGAUGGUCACUGUGCCUGCCUUCUUGUCAUAUAUCUGGUUCUGAAUUUCUCUUGUUCACAAUCCACAAAAAUUAACCACUUAGCCACUUUCAUUUCAUCUUGAAACAGCUCAAACUAAGUUAUAAUACAUGGAGAAGCUAGGAGGCACUCACGAGGGAUUCUACACAGUACUUUCUUGAUUUUCUUGUGGCAUUUCUCGCAUUCAAGGUCAACCUUCAUCACCAUUAUUGUGACUUUCUGCAAUAGGAGCACAUAAAAACAAGGACAAAAUUUCUAAGCCAGGAAGAAUAUUGAAAGGACUGGAACACUUUCUGACAUGGAAGGAUAUUGAUCAGUAAAGAUAAUGAAAAAGAAGAUGAGGUCCGUAGGGCCAAAAACAAGGACCACCGCAUAAAAAGAAUAAAAACCCAGACGAAUGGGCUAAAUAAAAGAUAAAUCGAAACCAAGAAAAGAAGAAGAAGGAAAUAUAUCAAAAUCUCCACAUCCAUCCAUGCACAUACCUUUUCAGCCAUGGUUUUGUCCAAGCCUUGAUCUGAGCCUGAUGAGAUGAUAGAAUUGAGAGCAGAGUGAAGGAACGGACCAGAGGGUCAGAGGGAGAUUGAGAUACGAAAAGGAGGCUUAUAAAAUGAAGAUUGAUCACAACUUAAGUAGUAGAAGUGUGGGGACAUAGUUUAAAUACCGCGCAUCUAGUAGGCAAUAAGAAGAGAACACGUGGCAUUGGGUGUUGAGCUUGACGUAAUAUUGUCGUUUCAUUUUUAAUUGCUGACCCUCCGAUCAUGCACAUGCAUGUGCUGGCUUUGAUGGACACAUCUCACCUUCAAUUUUGUUAAUCAUUUCGAAGGUUGUAGUGCAUCCUACGGCGCAUUAGUUUAGUCAUGUCAAUAAAUGAGCCAUGCAACCCCCAUGACAACCGUACACGUGUCCCCAAAAAACUCCCCUCAUAAAAUUAAAAAUCUUCAAUUAAUAUUUCCAUAUCUCAUGUGUAAAAGAAUUUAGAAAACAUGAAUUAUUGUAUUUAUUAUUUUACCAUGAAUAUGAGAAAUGAGAAAUUAGAAACCCAAGUCGUAAAGCAAGUAGCUCAUCGUUUUAUCUUAUCCCUAUGUGUGGAUAUAAAGAAGAAAGUUAACAAAUUGUGGGCCCAGAAGUUGCGUCCAUGAGUGCCAACUUUGAAAGCUGAGGCAGGUUUAACUAACCGUUUGAAAUUGCGUUCAACUGCUUUUUAAAAAAAAACAUUUAUUUUUAAAUUUUUAUUUUAUAUAUCUUUAGAUUAUUUUACGAUGGCAUGAAGAAUAAAUUCAAAAAAAAAUUCAAAAAACAAUCCCAGCAAAAUCAUUAUUGCUUUCCAGAAUUGUUGAGAGGAAUCACAUGAAUCUAAUUUGAAGUUUGGGCCUCUACUCUGCAGGUCAUGAAAGUAGAGAAUCCAAGGAAAGCCAUGUGCCAGUCCAUUAUCUAUGUUUUCUGAAUGACAAACUGGGUUUCAUUAACACUGAGCUUAGCCCAUGUUUCACAGGGCAUAUUAAUCAGCCCAUCACUUCCAUGGCUAUACCAGGACUGGCUAAGAAGCCCGGAGGCUAAAACAGGCCUGCAAGCAACACAUAUUGCUUUGCUCCGGGUCAAAUAUUAUUCUUUCUAGUAGAAAGAAUGAAUAAAUAUGUUUUUUUUAUUAUGUUUUUUAAUUUAAAAAAUUCUUAUUUUAAACAAAAAAAAACUUUAUAUAUUCAUCCAAUUAAAUAAAUUGAAAAUUUGAUUGUAUAACCAUAGUUGAUGUAGAAUCUGGCUCGAACCAAGUUUUAUAUUAUUGGAGUGACUGUUCGCUCGAUUAACCUAGAUGAUGAGACUCAACUUGAUAAAUUACUUGGAUUUUUUAAAUGUGUAUUAAAAAUAACAUUUUUAGACUUUUUUUUAACCAAAACAAUAUCAUUUUAUGAUAUAUCUGGAUUGAUAUAUGAUAAACUUUCUAACCCAUUAAACAUUUAUUUACAACGUGAGAGAAUAGGAAUCCCAUAUAUUGACCCGAAGGAGAUGCUGAUUGAUAACGUUUACAAACAAAAGCCAUCGACCAGUUACUGUCAGAAAUUAAAGAAAGCAAAUAGAAAGUGAAUGGAAAGGAGAUGACCAUCACUAUAUAUAUACAAAUAGCAGUGAUUAUGGAAGCUUUAAAAUCCCUUAUAUUAAUUUAUUAAAAAUCUUAACAACUCUUGUAAUAAAAUAUUGUUCCCACAUGAUCACCAACCUUAUUGUAUCACAUAAAAUCUUUAUAACGAAGGAAGAAGACCCAAUAUGCAGCCAAAACUGACUAGCUAGACAAGGUUAUGACAUGAGCAUGGGUAAUGCUAUUGUUUAAUUUGAUCAUAUCGACACGAUACUACUGUCCAAAUCCAGUGAUUUUAGGUGGAGAUCGGCUUAAAGCAUCGACAUUCUUGAUGCUUUCACAUGAUUGUGCAUGACGAGGGAUUAUCUUCACAAACAUAUUCACAUCGGCACGCAUAGUAACCGCUUCUUUGGCAACCACAGCCGCCGCUGCCACCCCAACUAUCAUGCACUGGCCUUCCAUAAAUUUCAUAACUUGGGGGUGCCGGCCUACCAUAGUCAUGAUAACAUGGGCCUCCACUAAUCCCUCGGUAGCAUUCAGCACAACAUGUCAUUGGGUGGACUGGUUCAACAAUAAGCGCUUUCGGCUUGUCUGGUCCUUUGAGCUUGCUAUCGCUAUCAACUGUUGGUGGAGGCUUGUCCGGUUGUUUGCUUGGUGCUUUGGGUUUCUCCGGUUCUUUGGGUUUCUCCGGUUCUUUAGGUUUAGCUGGUGGUUCUUUGGGUUUCUCUGGAACCUUGAUCUCAAUGCUCUUGACAGCUUCACCUCCUUUACAGACUAUCUUUUCCUUGAUCUUUUCAGGACUGCAACAUACCACAGUGAUGGUCACUGUGCCUGCCUUCUUGUCAUAUAUCUGGUUCUGAAUUUCUCUUGUUCACAAUCCACAAAAAUUAACAACUUAGCAACUUUCCUUUCAUCUUAAAACAGCUCAAACUAAGUUAUAAUACAUGGAGAAAGAGGCACUCACGAGGGAUUCUACACAGUACUUUCUUGAUUUUCUUGUGGCAUUUCUCACAUUCAAGGUCAACCUUCAUCACCAUUGUUGUGACUUUCUGCAAUACGAGCACAUAAAAACAAGGACAUUCUAAGCCACGAAGAAUAUUGAAAGGACUGGAACACUUUCUGACAUGGAAGGAUAUUGAUCAGUAAAGAUAAUGAACAAGAAGAUGAGGUCCAUAGGGCCAAAAACAAUGACCACCGCAUAAAAAGAAGAAAAACCCAAAUGAAUGGGCUAAAUAAAAGAUAAAUCUAAACCAAGAAAAGAAGGAGGAGGAAAUAUAUCAAAAUCCACACAUCCAUCCAUGCACAUACCUUUUCAGCCAUGGUUUUGUCGAAGCUUCGAUCUGAACCUGAUGAGAUGAUAGAAUUAGAGCAGAGUGAAGGAACGGAACAGAGGGUGAGAGGAAGAUUGAGAUACCAAAAAGAGGCUUUUAAAAAUUAAGAUUGAUCACAACUUAAGUCGUAGAAGGGUGCGACCAUGGUUUAAAUACCGUGCAUCAAGAGGCCAAUAAGAAGAGAACACGUGGGAUUGUUAAGCCUGACGUAAUAUUGUCGUUGCAUUUUUAAUUGCUGACCCUCCAAUCAUGCACAUGCAUGUGCUGGCUUUGAUGGACACAUCUCACCUUCUAUUUUGUUAAUCAUGUCGAAGGUUGUGGUGCAUCCGACGGUGCAUUAGUUUACUCAAGUCAAUAAAUGAGCCAUGCAACCCCCAUGACAACCGUACACGUGUCCCCAAAAAAUUCCCCUCAUAAAAUUAAAAAUCUUCAAUUAAUAUUUCCAUAUCUCAUGUGUAAAAGAAUUUAGCCGGCGUUUGAUUGUUGUUUCCUGAAAAAAAUAAAAAAAAAGUGAAGAUAAUUAAUAAAAAUACAUUGAGGAGGCAUAGAAAACUUGAAUCAUUGUAUUUAUUUUUUUGAAAGUAUAUAAAUUUAUUUUAAAACUAUCACAAAAACAAUUUUAUUUUAUAUUCUUAUUUUUAUCCUCCGUCCUGCACUAACACAAAUACAAUGAUUCAUGUUCUCUAACGAUACAUUAGGGAUGGCUACCUCCUCAUCCCUAUGUGUGGACAUCGAGAAGAAAGUUAACAAAUUGUGGGUCCAUAAGUUGCGUCCGCCAACUUUCUUCUUCAAUUCUCCUUCUUUUUUUAAUUAAUGUCGGUGAUGGCCAAUAGAUCCUAGAGUUGAUUAUUAAGUAAAUUUUUAUUUAUUUAUUUUGAAAUUUAUAAAACUUGAAUAGUUGAUUUGUAAAACAUAAAUUUAGUAUCUGAUUAAUUAAGUUAUAUUUUUCGGAGUUUAAAAUUGCAUUGAACUGUGUUUUUUUUAUAAAUUUAAUUUUUAUUUUAUAUAUUUUUAAGUUAUUUUGAUAUUUAAGAGUAAAAAAUAAAUCUUAAAAUAAUAACACGGAAGAAAACAUCCAAAAGGACAAAAUGCGAGGACUUUGCAAAGGAUAAGAGAGCAUAAAAAACAAAGAGCAGGUAGUAACAAGCCAUCAACAUUGACUGAAAAUACUAGCUACGCACAAACAAAGUCGUGCAUCAUCCAGACGAAACACAACAGCAGUGCUAAGGUCCAUCAUGACCACUGGAUUUGAAUCCAAUGUUUGAUCUUGGACGUUGACUCAAACCAUCGGUCUUCUGAACUUUAUUUCCCUUUACAUGAUUGUGCAUGGCGCCGAGGGAUUUUGCCAUCCAGGUCAUGAAAGUAGAGAAUCCAAGGAAAGCCAUGGACCAAACCAUUAUCCAUUAUCUAUGUAUUAAUUAGCCCAUCACUUACAUGGCUAUACCUGGACUGGCUAGAAGCCCAGAGGCUACAACAGGGCUGCAAGUAACACCUUAUGCAGUUUAUACCGGCUAUCACUUUACUAGGGGUUAGAUAUUAUUUUUUAUAUAUAAAAAAUAAAUAUAUAGUUUUUUCAUUAUAUCUUUUAAUGUAAGAAAUUCUGAUUAUGAACCUAUAUAUAUAUUUAAUUAAAUAAAUUGAGAAUUAUUUGUAUCAAUAAAAAAAAAUCAGUAACAACAACUAAAGACUAAACUUGAAGAAUUAAGAGAUAAAUAUAGGUUAAUAUAUUUAAUCUAGUAACAUGAACCAUGUACGUGGUUGUGUUUGAUAACUUUAUUUAUUAGAUUUAAUUUUUUAUUUAAUUAAACAAUAAUAUAAAUUAACACAUAUUAAAAUAAUUAAAUAAAAUAAAAAAAAUAUUUUACAGGAUUGCACAAAUUAUAAAAAAAUAUUAUCAUUUUAUAAAAAUACCACCAAAAAAAACUAAAUAAACAAGUUAAUUGCGGUUGAUUUUUUAUUAUUAUUAAAGCAUGUCGCUUUAUUAUUUAAAAUAAUGAUGUUGACCCAGGAAUAGACCGAGUGAAUGAAAUUAUCAAUAACAUAGUCGGAAUAAACGAGUUUAGUCACAUCAAAUCAUCAAUAUUUUGUUUUUGAAAGACUUGACAUCUUUAAAUCAAAAAUUUUAUGAAUCAACCAAUAGGGUAUAAUUAACAACCAUUCCUUCCGUACAAGUCAAUGGAGAUAAUCCGAAACCCCUUCAAAAUUUCCAUGGCUUCCUUACAUUUUCAUUGACAGCUCGCUAACCUAUCCCAUGGUAGCAUUCUUCUUCUGUCAUCCCCAGCACUUAAUUAAUGUGUAAAGGAGGAUAGAAAAGAAACGAGUCAAAUAACGUCAACCAGUGAUAAUAUAUCUCCAGAUUAAGAGAGCUUUACAUGGCUCCACAUAUAUAAAACUAUGUAUACAUCAUGAAAAGGAAAUUGGUCUUCGAUUAUUAUGUAUGUUGAUAAAGGGAUCAUUCUUCUCUCCAAGUACAAUACUGAUUUAUAGAAUAAUAAUCCAAAUUUCACUAUCUGGUUUGGAUCAGGCAUGGCUGAGCUUGCACCAUUUUUUCCAGGAAACAAGCAUGCUCACGUUUACACCACAGAAGCAAUCAAACGAUAUUCAAGGAUUGAAGAAAGCAAUUGAAAGUGAAAGAAACGGAGGUGAACGCACCAGCACCAUCACCAUCACCAUGGAAAAUGGAACCUUUUGCUUUUAUUUGCAAUAAUUGUAAGUACUUACGUGACCCUACAAUAAUAUUUAUACAUCUCACCAACCUUGCUGACCAUAUUGUCCACUCACAUAAGAUGGUCUCUUUGCGUAAAAUCUUAUAAAUUAUAUGAGUUUAUUUAUAAGGUUUUAUGGAAUGGAAAAUAUAUUAUCAAUUAAUUAACAAAAUUUGCAUCGGGAUAAUACCAUAGCCAGUCUUUACACGUCCAGCGAAACAUGGUGCUUAAUGACUGUGUCCAAGGGGAAGCAAAUUGGAACCCCAACUUGAAUGUUUUUCGUGAUUGGUUUGAAGAUUUAAGAUAGUGAAAAGAGUCUCUCUUUGAAGACUUUGUUUGAAAAAUGAUUAAGAUCUAUUUGGGGUUUUUAUUUUAUUAUAUUGUGGAUGGAUAGCUAGUGUGGCCCUUUUUUUUUAAUGAAGUUACGGAAGUGAGAUUUUGGGUUUUUAUUUUAUUAUUUUGAGCAUGGUUAGGAAUAUGGCCACCACGAAGAUGUAACCCGUGUUCUUAAAAUUAAAAAUAUAUCUUGAUAUUUUUUAUUUGGAAACACAAGUCACACCGCUAUGUAUUUCAAAUAAUAAUUUUUAGUUCAUUUUAUUUUUAUACAUAGAUUAAAAGAUUUUAUUUUAAAAAAAAUAUAUAUUUUUAAAAAAUUAGUUUGUUUUAUGUAUUUUUAGAUAGUUUUAAUAUAAUGAUAUCAAAAAUAAUUUUGAUGUUGUUUCUGGGCAUUUCAUCCGGCAAAAAAAUUGACUAGAGAAUUGAUGGAGAGGGGGUUUUUUUAAACAAAUAAUAGCACUUUGGAAGAAAGCAUCCGAAGGGACAAAAUCCAAGGACUAUGUACAAGGAUAAGGUAGUAAAGCCUCACAUAUUUGCUGACCGAACAUGUAACAAGCCAUCAACAAUGGAAAAAACUGUGACCGUGGACGUGAAAAUAUAUACUAGCUAGGCACAAAGUCGUGCAUCAUCUAUAUGAAAGAGAUCAAAACAACAGCAGCAUCACCAAAGGGAUAUGAUAUUAUAAACACAACAACAAUACUAAGGCCCAUCAUGACCACUCGAUUUGAAUCCAAUGGUUGAUGUUGGGCGUUGACUCAAACCAUCGGUCUUCUGAACUUAAUUUCCCUUUACAUGAUUGUGCAUGGCGCCGAGGGAUAGUACUCUUCACAGACAUAUGCACUUCUACACACAUAGUAACCCCUACUUCGGCAACUACAGCAUCCAUCUCCCCAUUUAUCACACUCUGACCUUCUACAAGGUACAGGACAAUAUGGAGGUACUGUUGGCAUACAAAAGUGAUGACAACAUGGGCCUCGGCGGCAUUUUUCACAACAUGGGCAUGUUGGAGGUGGAGGUGGAGGUGGAGGUGGUGGAGGUGGAGGUGGAGGUGGAGGUGGUGGAGGUGGUGGUGGAGGAGGAGGUGGUGGAGGUGGUGGUGGAGGUGGUGGUGGUGGUGGAGGUAUAACAAUGCACUUGACAGUUCGACCUCCUUUGCAGUAUAUUUUUUUCAUGAUCUUCUCAGGACAGCAACACACCACAGUGAUUGUCACCGUGUUUUUCUUCUUGUCAUAUGUCUGGUUCUGGAUUUCUCUUGUUCGUUAAUUAACAUCAUCAAAUCCACAAAACUUAGUCACUUCCUUUGGUAAUAAAAACAACUCAAACCUAGAACUGUUUUUAAAGAGAAAAAAGAAAGACUCACGAGGGAUAGCACACAGUACUCUCUUGAUUUUCUUGUGGCAUUUUUCGCAUCCAAGGUCAACCACCUUAAUCACCAUCGUUGUGACUUUCUGUAACAGUACUAGUUAGUGCAUUUCAUAUAGGACCUCACCAUGAUUAAUCCCAAUAGAAAACAUAAAAAAACGUCGUCAUGAUAAAUUUAUAGACAGAAAGAUUGGAGGAACUCAAAACAUGUUCGUCUGACAUGGAAGAAUCCGCUGUAGAGAUUAUCAAGAACUUGUACGUAGGACCUCCACAUAAAAAGAAGAAAAGGCCAAAGAGGAUGCAUUAAAAGAUAAAUUAACACACACAAAUAUAUUUAUCAUACCUUUUCCACCAUGGUUUUGUGUAUGCUUUGAUCCGAUGAGACGAUGGAAAUAUUGAGAGUAUAUAUAUAGAGGUGGGGGGAGGGGGUUAAUUUAAUUAAGAUAAAUACAUCUGAGACAUGUGAGGCUUUAAUUUAAUUGUUCUUGCAUUUUUAGACCAAUAAGAUGAGGAAAUGUGGACUUGGGAGUGGAAACUUGAUGCAACCAUCGUAAAUUUCGUCGUGCUGACCCAACAAUCUUUCAUCAGCAAGAGAUGGUUUUGAUGUGCACAUCUGAUCACCUUCUAUUUUGUUAGUCAAUUCAAAGGUUAAGCUAAAGGAUCGAUAGCCAGGGUUAAAGAAAUUGAUACUAACAUUUAUUUUUUUAAAAAAUUAUUUUUCUUAAUGUAUUAGGUUACUAUAAAGGAUUGUUUCUUAAAAUUACUCAAAAUAAAAAAUCAUUCUAUGAAUAAAAUGGUUCGAAAUAUCUAUACCAUGAAAAAAAAAAUCAAUAUAAAAUAAGGGUGUUUAAAAAAACCAACCCGUUUAUAAUAUUUUUAUUAUCUAACUUGACCCAACCUGUUAAUGUCAGAUUAUAUAGAUAUUAUAGAUGAUAACAAGUUAAAAAAUUUAAGAAAUAGAUAUCACGGGUAAGGAAAUUAAACUAGCAUGUAUAUCCUAUAAAAAUAAACUUAAAUAUUUGUUGUUAUAUGUCUUGUUAUUUAUUUAUUUUUAUUUUUUUGCAAUUGAUUCUUUCAUUUGAAUUAAUUGAUUCAGUUGAUGUAUUAAGCCUAAAUUAUUUGUUAAAACUCAUAACAAAAUUUUAAGCUAAUUUAUUGAGCAUAAAUCUUAGUUCUAAUUAAACUCAAUUAAUUCAUAAAAAUUAGCAACAUAACUUAAUUUGUAAAUAUAUAUAAUAUUCAUAAAAUAUUUAACCUAGCCAUAUAUAUCUUAUGACUCGAUCGGGUAUAAAUAAAAAAUAAAUAGGUGAAAUUUACAAAACAUUAACAAUUGUGUUGGAAAUAUCAAACAUACUUCACCGAAUCACGAGAUGCAUGUCUGCGCGCUGUCGCGGGCUUAAAAAACAAAUAUAUUUAAUAGUAUUAUAAUUGUGAACCAGCGCUAGAUAAGUAAUAGAAACUAAAUGUAUGAUAGAUCCAAUAUUUUAUGACGGAAAAAAAAAAGUUGUGUUGGUGAUUAAAACUUAGAGACUGAACAAAAUGAUUUGUAGCAAUCCACAGUGUUUUGGGAGGAAAGAUACAGUGUUUUCGCCACAUGAUUUAGCUUUUCUGUUAAUAAAAAGCAAAAAAAAUUAUAAAGCUAAAUUUUCUACCAACUUAAUAUUAAAAAAAAAACCAACAAAGAUAAUUUUGGAAGGAAAAAAACCCAUGAGGAAAAACAUUGUAGCAAUUGACAAUGUUUUGUGAGGAAAACUACAGUGAUUUCCCCAAUAAAAUAAAAUUAAAAACCAUUUAGAGAAAUACUGUAAUAAUCUAUAGUGUUUUGUGAGAAAAACUACAACACUUUCCUCAUAUGAUUUAGCUUUAUUGUAAUUAUAAUUCUUAACCAACUUAAUAUUAAAGAAAAAUGGACAAAGAUAAUUUUGAAAAAAAUAAUAAAAAAAUAAUAUGGGAAAACACUGCAAUAAUUCAAAGUGUUUUAAAGAAAAAACAAUUAUAAAGCUAAAUUCUUAAUCAGCUUAAUAUUAAAAAAAUCAAAUCGACAGAGACAAUUCUAGAAAAAAAAAUAUUAAAAAAAACACAAAAAAAAGGAAAAAAAAUCAUGUUGGAAACACUGUAGCAAUUCAUAGUGUUUUGUGAUGAAAGCUACAGUGCUUCCCCACAUGAUUUAACCUUAUUUGCAAUGACUUGUAAUUGUAAUUUUCAACAAUAUUUUGGAAUGAAAGCUACAAUGCUUUCCCCACAUGAUUAAGUUUUAUUACAAAGUUAAAUUUUAACCAACUCAAUAUUAAAAAAAAUAAAAUCGACAAAGAUAAUUUUGGAAAAAAAUAUUACAAAAAAAAAACACAAAAGAAACCGGAAAAAAACCAUGUGAGGAAAAACUGUAUCAAUCCAUAGUGUUUUGUGAGGAAAAACUUAUAUUUACUUGUAAUUGCAAUUCUUAACCAGCUUAAUAUUUAAAAAAUAAAAUUGACAUAGACAAUUUUAGGGAAAAACAUAACAAAACAAAAAAAACCAUAUGAGAAAAAACACUGUAGCAAUCGACAAUAAUUUACGAAGAAAGUUACAGUGCUUUCCUCGCAUAUUGUAACUGUAAUUUUUAACCAGCUCAAUAUUAAAAAAUAAAAUAAAAAAAAAAAGAUAAUUUCAGAGAAAAUCAUAAAAAAACAAAAAAAAAACCAUGCAGAGAAACACUGUAGCAAUCAACAAUGUUUUAAAGAAAAAAAUUACAAAACUAAAUUCUCAAUCAGCUCAAUAAAAAAAAUCGACAAAUAUAAUUUUUUAAAAAAUAAAAAAAUAAAAUAGAAAAACUAUAUGGGAAAACAUCGUAGCAAUCCACAGUAUUUUAAAGGAAAAAAAAUACAAAAUGAAAUUUUUAAUCAGCUUAAUAUUUAAAAAGUAAAAUCAACAAAGAUAAUUUUUUAAAAAAAAAAAUUAAAUGGAAAAAAAAAAAGCAAAGUUGAAAAAAAAAAGACCUAAAAAAAUAAGAGGAAAAGUUGGGAAAAAAAUUAAAAAAUAUAAUAAUAAAAACCCCGUGGAUUACUAAAAUUUCCCCCCCCCCCCCCCCCCUCCCCCCCACCCCCCACCUUUUAGAUAUUAUUAAAACAUUUAUGAACACCACUAAUAUAAAUAUUGUAUUGUAUCUAUCCUAAGGUACAUUAGUUUGGUGAUAUUCAUUUAUGCUCUAUGCACGCCCACCCCUUGCACAUGGCAUGGGUCCCAAGUGCUUUAUAAAAUAUUAAUGAAGUGUUUAAAAGUAGAGUAGUAACGUUAGUUAUUUAAAAUGUUUUUUUAUUUAAAAUUAUAUUAAAAUAAUAUUUUAUAAAAUUUUAAAAAUUAUUUUGACAUUAAUACAUCAAAACGAUCUAAAAAUAUUUUAAAAAAUAAUUUUAAACAAAAAAUAAAGAAAAAUGUUUAAAUUAUGAUUUUUUAUAUAUAAUUGUGAUUUUUUUUAAUAUUUCAUGCUGUGCUUUUUUAAUAUAUAUUCUUAAAAAAUUAUAUUAAACUAAAAAAAUAUUUUUUUAUUGUUGAUAUUAACACAUCAAAAUAUUAAAAUAAAUUAAAAAUAUUCAAUUACCAUCUUUCCAACUUAAACACAAUUUUAUAUAUACAUGAAAAAAAAAACAUCUUUCCAACUUAAACACAAUUUUAUAUAAAUCGAUUUGAAUAGGAGAAAGAGACUGAAGUUGUUAGGCGACGAUGAUAAUUGGAGCUACAAAAGACUAAAGGGGUGGCUAUCUGGCAAUUGCUAUGUGUGGGCACAAGGGAGAGAAGUUAAGAAAAAAAUUGGGGGCUCCAGUAAUUGUCCAUGAGUGCAAAAUCACAAAAGAAAUUAAUUUUUUCGUACGUUGUUAAUGUUUAAUUUCUUUUUAUUUAGUUAUUAAACUUUUAUGACACGGAUCCUGAGUUUGAUAGGUAACCUGGUUUGACGGGUUAGCCCGGUUAAUUCUGGAUUAACCCGUCAAUUUUUUUUUCUAUUUAGUUAUCAAACUUUCACGACACGAAUCCAAGGUUUGACGAGUUAACCUGGUUUAAAGGGUUAACCCAGUUAAUUCAGAUUUUUUUUUCUUCAUUAGUUUUUUUCUUUCUAUUGGUUUUUUUCUUUUUAAUUAAUUUAUUUAAUUAUCACACUUUUAUGAUACGACCUUGCAGCCAGACUCGCAUCCAAGGCUAUUGGGUUUGGUACUGCAGCUAGACCUACCAGGUCAUGCAAGUUUAAUGUUAUUAUUAAUAUUAUAAAUAUUACUUUUAGGUCAGGCGUUACAGCCAAACCCAAGAUUCUUGGGUAUAACUUUACAGAAAAACCUAACACUUUUAGAUCUUAGCUUUUUCUUGGUAUUUUUUAUAUAAAAAAAAAUUAACCCACAGCAUCGCGCGGAUCAUGUAACUAGUAUCUAUUUGAAAAGGAGAAAGAGACUGAAGUGGUUAGGCGACGAUGACAAAUGGUGCUUCAAAAGACUAAAAAUUGCAUGAGUGCAAAACUACAAAAGACUGAAGUGGUGGCUAUCUGCCAAUUGCUAUGUGUGGGCACAAGGGAGAGAAGUUAAGAACAAAAUUGGGGGCUCCAGAAAUUGUCCGUAAGUGCAAAACCACAAAAGAAAUUAUCCAAUCAAUCCAACGUCCUAGUUAUUGUAAAUUGACAAUGUCGUGGAAAAAAAAUAGAAAAAAAAUAUUAAAUUACCAUCUUUCCAACUUAAACACAAAAUAUAUUAUUUUAAUAUUUUUCUAAAUAAAAAAUACUUUAAAAGUAUUUGGUAUUGCGGUAAUGAUUUUUUUUUAAAGUGUUUUUUGUUUAAAAAUACAUGAAAUAAAAUUUUUAUUAUUUUUUAAAAUAUAUUUUUAAUAUCAAUCUGGUAAAAUAAUUAAAAAAAUUAAUUUAAAGUAAAAAAAUUAAAACAAAAAACCGGUGUGUUAAUACUUUGUGAGAAGCCGAUUAUUGAAAUAGUGGUCAGUCAUUAUUAUACAUGCCACCUUUUCGGAACAUGUCUGGAAAAAAAUCAAUCAAUAAUCGCAUCUCAAGUGUCAAGUGUCUUAAUUGGUGGCCCGCAGCUUAUAGCCGGUCCAAUCAACUUCAUCUUCAUAAUCUAUCACGAUAAACAUACCACCAUAUUCACAAAUAAUAAUUACUAGCCGUUUAACAUCUAUUAGGAAUAACGAGAUGACUUGCCCGCAUGCUGCCGCGGGUUUAUAAAAUAAAUGUACUUGAUAGUAUAAUAAUUGUGAACUAGCGCUAGAUAAGUAAUAGAAAUUAAAUGUAUGAUGGAGCAAAUAUUUCAUGACGGAAAAAAAAGUUGUGUUGGUGAUAAAAAACUUAAAGACAGAACAAAAUGAUAUGUAGCAAUCUAUCAUGUUUUGUGAGGAAAGAUACAGUGCUUUCGCCACAUGAUUUAGCUUUUCAGUUAAUAAAAAGCAAAAAAAAAUACAAAGCUAAAUUCUCUACCAACUUAAUAUUAAAAAAAAACCAACAAAGAUAAUUUUGGAAGGAAAAAAACCCAUGAGAAAAAAUAUUGCAGCAAUUGACAAUGUUUUGUGAGGAAAACUAUAGCGCUUUUCCCAAUAAAAUAAACUAAAAAACUAUUUAGAGAAAUAUUGUAGCAAUCCACAGUGUUUUGUGAGAAAAACUACAACGCUUUCCUCAUAUGAUUUAGCUUUAUUGUAAUUAUAAUUCUUAACCAACUCAAUAUUAAAAAAAAAAUCGACAAAGAUAAUUUUGAAAAAAAUCAUAAAAAAAUCACAUGGAAAAACACUGCAACAAUUCACAGUGUUUUAAAGAAAAAAAAUAACAAAGCUAAAUUCUUAAUCAACUCAAUAUUAAAAAAAAUCAACAGAGAUAAUUUUAGGAAAAAAAAAUAACAAAACAAACACCGAAAAAAUGGGAAAAAAUCAUGUUGGAAACACUGUAGCAAUUCACAGUGUUUUGUGAUGGAAGCUACAGUGCUUCCCCACAUGAUUUAGCCUUAUUUGUAAUGACUUGUAAUUGUAAUUCACAAACAACUCAAUAUUAAAAAAAUAAAAUUGAAAAAGAUAAUUUUAAAAAAAUUAUAACAAAAAAAAACUAUGCGGAGAGACACUGUAGCAAUCCACAAUGUUUUAUGAGCAAAGCUACAAUACUUUCCCCACAUGAUUAAGCUUUAUUACAAAGUUAAAUUUUAACCAACUUAAUAUUUAAAAAAAUAAAAUCGACGAAAAUGAUUUUGGAAAAAAAUAUUACAAAAAAAGAAAACACAAAAGAAACUGGAAAAAAACCAUGUGAGGAAAAACGGUAUCAAUCCAUAGUGUUUUUUGAGGAAAAACUUGUAUUUACUUGUAAUUACAAUUCUUAACCAGCUUAAUAUUUAAAAAAUAAAAUUGACAAAGAUAAUUUUAGGGAAAAACAUAACGAAAACAAAAAAAAACCAUGUGGGAAAAAACACUGUAGCAACCAACAGUAAUUUUCGAGGAAAGUUAAAGUGCUUUGCUCACAUAUUGUAACUGUAAUUUUUAACCAGCUCAAUAUUAAAAAAUAAAAUAAAAAAAGAUAAUUUCGGAGAAAAUCAUAAAAAAAAACCAUGCUGAGAAACACUGUAGUAAUAAACAAUGUUUUAAAGAAAAAAAAUUACAAAACUAAAUUCUCAAUCAGGUCCAUAUUAAAAAAAAAUCAAAAAAUAUAAAUUUGAAAAAUAAAGAAAUAAAAUAGAAAAAUUAUGUGGAAAAACAUCGCAGCAAUCCACGGUAUUUUUAAGAAAAAAAUUACAAAGCAAAAAUUGUAACCAGGUUAAUAUUUAAAAACUAAAAUCAACAAAAAUAAUUUUCGAAAAAACAAAAGAAAAAAUAAAUGAAAAAAAAAAGAAAAAUUAGGAAAUUUGAAAAAAAAAAGUAAUUUUGGAAAAAUAAAAUUUGGAAAAAAAAACAAAAAAAAAGAAGAGAAAAGUUAGAAAAAAAAGGGUUAAGAAUCACUGUGGAUUACUGUUGUAAUUCACAGUGAUUUAGGUGUGAGGGAACAGUGAUGCCCCCACACCAUUUAGAUAUUGUUUAAUAGUGAAAAGAAAUUAGAAUUAAAGGGUUGCUUGGUUUCAAGUUGAAGCCAUGUGAUUGCUAAUAUGAUAAUUAUUGGAAGUUUAUAUGGUCGUUAACUUCAGGGUCUAUGGAAUUAGUCGAGGUACACGCAAGCUGGCCCGGAUACCCACAUUAAUAAAUAAUAAUAAUAAUAAUAAUAAUAAUAAUUACUAGCCGUUUAACUUGCUGGGUUAUACAAAAUAAUAAUAAUUAUUAUUAUUAGUCGUUUAACUUGCUGGGUUAUAAUUCUUUUUAAAAAUAUCAUAUGUAUAGAUUGUUUCAAGGUGUUUUUUGCAUAAAAAAAUUAAAAAUAUAAAUUAAAAAGCUAUCUAAUUAAAUAAAUUAAUAAUUAUUUAUGUAAAUAAAAAUAAAGUCAUUAACAAUAACUGAAAAAAAAAACUGAAAAAAAAUUAAGAAAUAAAAAUAAAUCAAUAUAUUCAAUUAUAUAAAAUGAAACUUUAACCUGAUUAUGUUUACCGAACUUAUUUAUUUAAAUCAAUAAAAGAUAAAUUCACACCCUAAAAAAUUGAUGACUUAAAAAAUAAAUACAAAUAAAAUUGAUUGAAUAAACUCAACCCAUAAAAAAAUAUUACACAAGGCCUCACACACCAGCAAUAUUAUUAGCCAGUCCAAUAACCUACAUAAUCUAUCACGAUAAGCAUGCCACCAUAUUCACAAAUAGUAAUUAUUAGUCGUUUAACUUGUGAUUCUCUGCGGUUUUUAAUUUUUUUAAAAAAUAUUGGGUAUACAGGCUAUUUCAAAAUGUUUUUUACAUAAAAAAAUUCAAAGUAUAAAUUGAAAGGCUUAUGCAAGCAUCUAAUUAAAUAAAUCGAUAAUCAUUUAUGUAAAUAAAAAAAAUUGUUAAUAAUAACCUAGAAAAGAACUAAAAAAAUUGAGAGAUGAAAGUAGAUUAAUAUAUUCAAUCACAUAAAAUAAGAACUUCACCUGAUUGUAUGUACCGAACUUAUUUAUUUAAGUUAAUAAAAGAUAAAUUCACACCCUGAAAAAUGAAUAUCUUUUAUUUUUAAAAAUAAACUUUAUUUGAAUAAAAACAAUAUAGAUAAAUUAGAAUAAUAUCUUGAAAAAAAAAAAAAAAAAACUUAUAUUAAAAAAGGCAUGCAAAACUCGUAAUCUAAAUCAUGAGACUAAGAUAAACCCAUAUAAAAAACUUAAAGAUAAUCACAAAACCAAUAUUAAAAAAAACUAAUGCAGAAGGAUAAGAUCGUACGAAGUCAAAUCCCUAACAAAUUAAAUGUCAAAAGAUAAAACCAGUAAAAAAAACCAAUUACACAAAAUGAUUUAAAAAAUUAAGCGUGAAAAAAAAUUAAUUAGAGGAAUAAAAAUCUUCAAUUAGAGAGUUAAAUUGAAUUGAAAAAUAGAUUAAAUAUAAAGAAAAAAAAUAAAAAAAAAGAUGGUCAAACUGAAAAAAAAAACAAUAAAAAUUGUUUGAAGGAUAAAAUUGACAAAAUAUCAAGGAGAAGAAAAGUGUCAAGGGGAGAAGUUAAGAAAAAAAUUGUGGGGUCCAGAAAUUGUCCUUAAGUGCAAAACUACAAAAGAAAUUAUCCAAUCAAUCCUACGUCCUAGCCUAUUAUUGUCAAUUUACAAUUAUUGUAAAUUUACAGUGUCGUGGAAAAAAAAUAGAAAAAAAAGGUGAUUUUACUUUGAAAUUUAUGCCACCACGGGUCAUGGAAGACAUUGUUAGGUACCACAAACUAUUUUUUAUUUAAAAUUAAUUUUUUUAUAUUUUUGAAUUGUGUGCUGAUAUCAAUAAUAUUUAAAAAAUAAAAAAAUAUAUUAUUUUAAUAUAUUUCUAAAUAAAAACAACAUUAAAAAUAACUGCUGCUAGACUACUUUCAAAUAUCCUCGGAGUAAUGUUUGUUAUUGCGAUUCAUUGUGUUUUUAAGAGUGUUUUUAGUUUAAAAUACAUUAUAAUAAUUUUGUUUUGAUUUUUUUUAUUUUUUGACAUCAACGUAUUAAAUUCAUCAAAAUAUAUUAAAAAACCAAUUUAAUACAUUUUCAAUCCAAAUAUAAUUUUAAAACGCACUCAAAUAUAAUUUUAAACACAAAAUCAAACGGAGCCUGGAAGAAAGCAGCUAUUGAACAUUCUCUAAUUUGAAAUCUCAGUGAUCUGGCCUCGCCAUAUAAGAAGGUGAUUUAAUUAUAAACCGGGUUUCCAUUAACUUUAAGCUUAGCCCGUGGCUCACAUGACAGGACCAGGACUGAUUAUAAGCACAUGGACUACCUGACCAAUCUCUUUUAUUGUAUUCUUGUUAGUUUAAUAUAUCUUAUAGCUAAUCGGUUGGUUAAAAGUAAUAUUAUUUGUCCCUCCUUACUGGCUGAAUUUUAGCUUUGCAUUCUCGUGCUUCCAAGCACCCUGGAUAAUUCACUACUUCUCCAUAUUAAGUAAUUAAGGUUGGUUGAUGAUUUUUUUUUAUUGUUCCUCUCUGUAGACUAAAACAAGCUACCCCAAUUACAUUUAAUAGCGUAUAGCUUAACUAAAAAAUUAGUCUCUUUGAACAAACUAGUAUACUUGUCUAAUCCCUGGGUUCUUGGUAUAAGCAGCGAGGGUGAGUAGCAGAUAUAAGCAGUCAAACCAAUAAGUCGAGCCCAUGUUUUGUCACCAUAACUCAUAAGAUAAGACGAACUGUCCACCCAAUAAGCUAUCCACUUGAAAUUACUAUGAUAGAGUGCUUGGUUUUUUUUCACCCAUGCCUUCUCAUCUAGGUCAUUCCACUCUUUGUCCUAACUCAAUUUUUAUCUUUUGGCUUUUAAUUUAAUUUUUACAGGGUUUAAAAUGAAAAAUAAAAAAAUCAGAGAUUUAUUUCGAUGAAAGUGUGAUUUGUCAACUUCCGUGAAAAUUAAGGACUACAAUAUGCUUUUGUCAUUCUAUAUUUAUAUUUAGGAUAAUCCUUAUCUUCAAGAUAAUCUUUAUCUUCGAGAUAAUCCUUGUCUUUAAGAUAAUGAUAGUUAUCCGCUUUCAAAUUUGAUUCUUAAUCAAAUUCAAACUUCAAAGAACAGAAUAAGUUUGAUUGAAACUUGAUUUCUCACAAGUGAAGGGACUCUGGUACUAUAAAUAAGAGAAAAAGGAAAAACAAGAGGAAAACCGAAAACCAGAUCAAAAAAACGGAGGCAGAACCACAGCAAAAACAAAGCAAAAACCCAGAGAAAGAAAUAAUACACAGAGAGGAGGAGAGGAAAGGAAACCAGCAUACACAGAGAAUUGUCCCCGCCAUUGCCUUCAUCUCUGCAGACAUUCCUGCACAAAAAAUAAAACACCCAAAACAAACUCACAGCAGGCCGGCAUCAUCUUCUUAGUGUUAAAGGCUGCUGAGAAAAAGAAAGGAAAACACAGACCAGUGAGCACAGAGAAGGCCGUGAAAACGAAGGGAAACAGGAGACAAACACAGGAAGGACAGAGAAAAAAAAUAGCGAUGGGAACUGGAGAAAAAUCAGAAGAAAAACCGAGAGGGAACCAGGGGAAAAACAAAAGAAAGGACUGAACCGAGAGAGGGGGAGCAAGAGGAGAAAAAGAACGGACGGUGAGAGAGUCAGGAUAAUAAAAGAGCAAGAACAGAGAGACUAUACAGAAGGCCACAUGAUAGCGAAAUAAACACAGAACAGGGACAGGCAGGAAGAAACCAAUCAGAGAAAAGCAAGAACAAAGGAGAAGGGAAGAGAAAGGAGCUUCGCCGACGAAUCUUUCAUCACGUUUUCAUCUUCAUAGCUACCAGGUAAGUAAGCUUCUCUUUCCCCGCUUUUCAUUUUAAUUCACCGGUUACUAUUUACUUUGAAUUUCAAUUCACACAUUCUAACUUAAUUCCUCUAUUCUGUUCAUGCACGCGUGAAAUCACUUCACGCAUGCUUUCUUUGAUUUUUGCCCAGCCGGGUCACUGGAUUGGGCCAGUGACCAGGCUGGGCUGGCUGGGUCCAGCCCAGCCCCCAUGGGCUGAACUGGGCCAAGCCCAAAAAAAUAAUAAAAAAAUAGAAAAAUAACAAAGUAAAAAAAUAUGUGCAUGCAUGAAAAAUAAAAUUUAUUUUAUUGGUUUAUUAACUGAUUCCAGAGUCAGGAAUAAAAAUACUGAUUUAAUUGUUUCUUUUUAUUUAGCUACAUAAAAAAAUAAAAAAUAUGUGAAUGCCUAAUAAAAUAAAUAUGAAUUUAUUGUUUUUAUUCAUUGACGCCAGAGUCAGAAUAAAGAUAUUGAUUCAAAUUUAUUUCAUUGUAUUUUAUUUAAAUUACAUAAAAAUAAAAAUAUGCAUGCAAAAAUAAAAUAAAAUAAAGUAAAUUUAUUGGUUUAUUCACUGACGCCAGAGUCAGGAAUAAAGUUACUGAUGUAAAUUUAUUUUCUUAUAUUUUACUUUUAUUUAGUUACAUAAAAAAUGUGUAUGUGUAAAAAAUAAAUUUAUUUGAUUUGUUUAUUCACUGACGCCAGAGUCAGGAAUAAAAAAUACUGAUUUAAAUUUAUUUUAUAGCUACGUACUAUUUAUCAACGCCAGAGUUGGAAAUAUCUGUAGUUAAAUAUUCACUGGCGCCAGAGUCAGAAAUAUUACACGCAAACCAUCAUAGCAUAAACCAACAAAAUGUUAGCAAUUUAUGACAAAACCAGCAAUGCAGCCUGCCUCAAGCAGGACGUUUAAGGGGUGAUAAUAUCUUCCUUUUUGCGUAACCAGUCUCGUACCAUAGAAUCUCUGCUGACCAGUCAAGGUUCCUAGUAACCAUAAUACUAGGUGGUGACUCCUUAAAACAAACCAUUCCCCAUCAAAGAAUAGGAUGCCAAAAAUCCAUUCUUUUCCAUGAUAAUUUUUAAGGCCGCCGCGAUGUCGGGUGCGACACUCUUCAUUUAAAAUCAGCCCAAUAUUAAACCACAAAAAAUUAUUGAAAACUUCUCUCGAUGUCUCUAAGUGAUUGACUAUCCAUAUAAAUAGUAGAGGAACACGACACCGUAUCGCUCUCUUUCCAUUCAGUAUAUAAUGGUUUAGGGAUAAGAGAGUUUCAACUAAGAUAACUGAGAUGAGGUUAUUCUUUGUCCAUUCAUACUCAAUGAAUGGCGUUGACAACUUCAACACUAAUGAUCCUAACGACUUCUGAAGGAAACAAAACUAACCCGAAGAUGGCGAAAGCAACUACUUACUAUUUCUCUUCUCUUAGCUUUCCAUUGUCUUUAUCUGUCUUCAACUUAUUCUCAAUCAAUUUCCAUUAAAAUCCUCCAUUAGACGUUCUAUAUUGAUCAACUUGGUGUAAAUGAAUUAAUUUUACGACCUCGACAAUUUUAUUCUCAAUUCUUUAUCUGAAAUAUACUUUGUGAGGGUUAUUUAUGAAGUUUAAAAUAUGGGCAUACUCUUUAAUGGUAAGGGUCAUGUCAAUAUCUCCGAAGGUGAAACAUAUAUAACCUAGAUUCCAAAAAUACAUUGACUUACUAAAAUCUGAACUAAGAUUCUUAUUAGGUGGGCAAUUCUCUUAUACUUCUUCUCAAACAAAGUCUCAUCUACAUGCCCCAAGACUGACACAAGCUUCUUUAUAUUGUCCAUAGAGUAAUAUACUUUGGUUAUGUGCGAUAGUUCUCGACCUCAGUCCUUAGGCAAUCCUCUUCAACUAAUUGCAUCAUCUCGAAUCUUUCCCCAUACUCAGAGAAAGUUAUCGAAGUCAUGGUCUUAGCUCAAAAACCCUACAGAGUUCAGGAUUUUAAUCAUGUUGUCCCUAAUGCAAAAUGAAUUAUUAAGGAUUCCAUACCUUAAAAGCAGGUUCUAGGUUAUUACAUGAGGGGUAAGUUCACUAUCUGAUCUCAAAAGGGUUUAUGAUCUGUCCAGUGACCACCUUUCAUGAAGGCAGUAUAAGGGUUUACAAGAAAUAGUUGGGGCACAGUGUGACCGUCCUUAUCAAGUAAACGCUCAACUCAUAGUUGAAUGUUUCAUGAAUUGGAACCCCGACUAAAAGUCAUGAGACAAACCGCUACUCCCCACCUAACCUAGAAUUCGGUUUAUUCAAAAAUUAAGAUGCAUGAAGGCAUUAAUCUAUACCCGAUGUACUUAUAUAUGAGAAAUAUAUAAAAUUGCAUGCUAAAACAGUAAAAAGAAAAAUAUGCCUAAGUUAAAUAAACAGGCCAACAAAAUAAAUAGGCAAAUAAUCAAACAAGCAAAGUUUAGUCCAACCAGACAAGUCUCAUGUGGAGUCACCAUCCUAUCGUGACAACUGUCGCACCCGACAUCGCGGCGGCCUUAAAAAAUUAUGAAAUCUUUGGAAAGAACGGAUUUCUGGCAUCCUGUUCUUUCAUGGGGAAUGGUCUUGUUUAAGGAGUCGCCACCUAGUAUUAUGGUCACUAGGAACCCUAACUGGUCAAUAGAGAUUCUAUGGUUCGGGACUGGUUACGUAAAAGGAAAGAUAUUAUCACCCCUUAAACGUCCUGCCUAAGGCAGGUUGCAUUGCUAGUUUCAUCUUAAAUUGCUAAAUGUUUAUUAAUUUAUGCUAUGAAAAUUUGCUUAUAAUAUUCUUGACUCUGGCGCCAGUGAAUAUUCAACUACGGAUAUUUCCAACUCUGGCGUUGGUAAAUAUUACGUAGCUAUAAAAUAAAUUAGAUCAAUAUUUUUUUAUUCCCGACUCUAGCACCAAUGAAUAAAUAAAUAAUAAUAAAUUUAUUUUUACGCAUGCACAUAUUUUUUAUUUUUUCUAGCUAAAUAAAAUAAAAUACAACGAAUAAAAAUAAUAUAAAUUUAAACCGGUAUUUUUAUUCCUGACUCUGACGUCAGUGAAUAAACCAAUAAAUUUACAUUAUUUUUAUUCAUCUAAAUAAAAUAAAAUACAACGAAUAAAAAUAAUAUAAAUUUAAACCGGUAUUUUUAUUCCUGACUCUAGUGUUAGUGAAUAAACCAAUAAAUUUAUAUUAUUUUUAUUCAUGCAUACACAUUUUUUUUAUUUAUUAUUUCUUUCUAUAUUUUUUAUCUUUCUGUUUUUUUAUUUUUUUAGGCUGAAAUUAAUCACUGGCUCAAAUCAGUACCAAGUAGUAGGCGUGCAUGACAGCGCACGCCUGCUAAAGAAACAAAGGAAUUGUAAAAGUAAAAUUCACUGCUACAGUAGCAUGUGAAUUAUAAUUCACAGCUACUGUAGCAAAGCAAAUGAAAUAUAAGGCAACAGAGAAGAACGAAGGAACUUACCUGAUGCGCGGAGACGAAGUCGAAGACGAGGGUAAUGGCGUGCUCUAGUCAAUGCUUCUGUUUUUCUUCUCUGGCUUUCGGGUCCUUAUUCUCUGGUUUUUCCUUCCCCGGCCUCUGCUGCGCUGCUGUUGUUGUAGGAGCACAUGCUGAACGACUCACAAUAUGGCAUAAAGGAAGAUGAUAUGUUGGGGAAGAAGAAGUUGCACCGCUGAUUUACUAGUGCGGUCGUUGCUGGUGCAGAAGGAAGAAGCUUGUUGCUGUUGCCAGGGGAAUUAAUCCUGUUUUCUUUGCAGUUCACGGCUGAGAAGACCAAAUGUCAUUGCAACGUGCUGCUGGAAUGAAUAUUAACUGGGGGCUGCUGCGGGAAGAAGAGAGGAAAAAAGCUGGGGGGAGGGGGCAGCGACGGCUAGCCUAGGACUCGGCCGUGCUUUUUUUUUUUGUAAAUGUCUUUUUUAUGUUUUUGUAGGUUUCUGGUAAUGGCCUUCUUUGAGUUUUUUUUUUUCUUUUAGGGUUUCUCUCUAAUCAUCUCCAUUCGCAUAGACUGGGAUCAGUAUUUAUAGUGUAAGAGUCCUAUCGCUUGUAAGAAGUAAAGUCUCAAUCAAACUCAUUCUCUUUUUUUGAAAUUCAAAUUAGAAUCGAAUUCAAAAUCAGACAACUUUCAUUAUCUUGAAGGUAAGGAUUAUCUUGAAAAUAAUGAUCAUUUCGAAAGUAAGGAUUAUCUCAAAGAUAAGGAUAGAAUGACAAAAGCACAUUAUAGUCCUUAAUUUUCACGCAAGUUGACAAAUCACACUUUUCAUCGAAAUAAGUCUCUGAUCUUUUAAUUUUACAUUUUAAACCCUGAAAAAAUUAAAUUAAAAACCAAUGGGCCAAAAUUGGGUUAUGACAACAACGUCGUGUGGCGGAGCUACCUCCUGGAAUUGAGGGGGUUUUGGGUUUAAUCAUAAAGUUAUGAUUAUAGAGUUCAGGAAUCACCACCUAGUAUUAUGGUCAUUAUGAAACCUAAUGGUCUGUGAGAGUCUAGGUAAAAGGAUUAGUUGUGCAAGGAGAAGAUGCAUUACCCUUAGUACACCCUAUCUAAGAUAAACUGCAUUGUUGAUUGAUUGUUUUUCUAGGUCAUGUUUCCAUUUGUUGGUCUCAUCUAAGAUUCAGGGAAAAUCUCCCUCCGUGAGGAAGUCUCUAACUUAUUGGGUUAAUCUUAAUUGUUUUAAGGCCCGUAUUUAGCAUCACAUUUAUUUUCUAUGUUGUAUCUUUAAUACUUGAGGAUAUACUUUACAGUGUAAUUUUAUACUCUCAAAUAUUAAAUUCUUACAACUAAAUUAUAACUCUCUGAAUAAAAAAACUAAUUGUUGUGAGAUUUUUUGUAUUUUGGUCAAACCCUAAUGAAAAAUUAUAAACCAGUUAUGAUAUACAUUUUGUAUUUUUAAAACACGAUAAAAAAUAAGAUUUUAUCCCUAAACAACUUUAGAUUUGUCUAACAGGAUCUUAGAAACUUUCGAAUAAUUUUUUUUUAUUAUUUCCACUACAUGUGUCGCACCCUCGCGGCGGAGCGCGGUGUCGCGGCGAUCCUCGAUUGGUUUCGGUUUUUUUUUGUUUAUUGUGUAAAGGAGUCGCCACCUAGUAUUUUGGUCACUAGGAACCCUAACUAGUUUUUCAGAGAUUCUAAGGCAAGGGACUGGUUGCGUAAAGGGAAGGUAUUAGCACCCCUAGUACGCCCUACCUAAGAUAAGCUGCUUGGUGUUUGGUUUGUUUUAUAAUUGCUAUGAUGUUGAUGUUUUCUAAUCCCAUCAGUUUUUUUAGGUGUGAUUUAAACUGAAUUGAUUAAGAUAGAAAUCCAAGGAGAUUCCAUGUGCUUUAAAAGCUCAUUUUCCCCUUUAUUUCAAUAGUUUGCGACUCGUAAAUCGCAAGGAGGAGGGACAAAAAUUUAGAAAUCUAGGGCGCUUUAAAAGCCUAUUUUUGCCUUAGUGUUUUAUACUCUCACGGCUCGUAAACCGUGGAGUAAAAAAUUGAAAUUUCCUCGAUUAUAAUCAAGGCUUCUUUCAAGGAUAUGUGAUGACUUAUUAUCCCUAGAAAAUUAUUUUGGAUAUUUAUCACUUAGGGUUUCUUUAUCCAAAUAUUAACAUUGAAUAAUAACAAGUUAUUCCCAUUAAUAUUUUGGAUAUUCAUCCAUUUGGGAUUUCUUUAUCCAAAUAUUAACGGUGAAUAAUAGAUGAAUUCCCCCCAAAAUAAGAUUUUUUAUUUUUUGGAAUAUUGGCCAAUACCCUUUGGAGUUUUACAAACAUGUUGUAAAAUCCAGAAAUGCAAGAAAAUAAUUUUUGUUGUGUUUAAGAAAUCCAUGCGAAAACACAUUUUCAAAACUUCCAAUAUUUUUUGUAUAAAAAAGAGCGUUCAAAACAUGUUAGGGUAUUGGCCGUAUGCAACACAUAAGAAAACAUUUUUUUUAUAUAUAUGUAUAUUUGUCACAUUGCGUAGAAAACCAGGUAUUCUAAAUACGAGAUUGAUAUUUUUUUUACAACAUAAAAAAAAUCCAGACCUUGAAAUAAAUAUGCCAGAAAAUAAAUAUCUUUCUCUUUCUUUUAUUUUAUUUUUUAAAAAUGUCAUUCGCCCAAGCAAGUGACCCGGCUGGACACAAAAGGUUACAGUUACAGCUUAAGGGUGCAGUUACAGCUUAAUGAAAGCUGGCGAGUUACUGUUCAAGUGAAUUAAAUUUCACUUGAGCAGUAACACAUGCAACCAAGAAAUGCAUGCGGAAUUGAAUAACAGACCUGGAGAAAAACGAAGGAGCUGCAGCGAUGUUGAAGGCGUGCUGGCUGGUCUGUCCGUGUUCGUCUGUUCCAGCUCUUUUCCCUUUGUUAUCUGCUUGCGUCGGUCUCCUGCGUUCAGCUCUGUCUUCGUCCCUUUCUCUCUACUGGUUUUAGCUUUUCUAUCCUCUCUUCUGUUCUGCAGAUCCUGGCGCUGAAACAGGCAAAGGAGAUGGCACUGCAGCUUUUCUUUUUCCUUGCUUCUUCCUGUUUUCUUCUCUUCUCUUUCCCUCCUUCUCUGUUCUGCUUUCCUUUUUCUUUUUCUCUUUUCACAGUAACGAACAGAAACUCUUUCUGUUCUCUGCGUUUUAUCUCUACUCCCUCUGUUCUUUUUUCAUUUUUUCUGCUGCUCCCUCUUUUCCUUCUCCUAUUACCUGCCUCUCCGUGAAGAUGAUGAGGGAGAUGGCGAUGAAAGCGUGUUAUGCUGGUUGAGUUCACGCCCCUGCCUCUGUAUUUUUUUGGCUUUCGACAGUGUAGUUCUGCUCUCUCUUUUUUCCUUUCGUUCCUCUCCUUUCCGUCCUUUUUUUUUUCUGUCCCUUUUCUCCUUUUUUUUUUCUCCUCUCCCACUCCUUCCCUCAGCAGAAGAGGCUUAUAUAGCCUAACAUGCAGCUCUAUUUAGGAAACAAAUAUUACACUAAUUCUAGGUUGUAAUCUCGGGUGAGCAAAAAAUAGAAAACCAAAAUAUUUUAUUCUGAUUCUGUGAUCAGCAGUGAUUUCUUUCCAAGUUAGAGGAUGGUACGGCUCCUUUCUUUCCUUCCAUAGCUGGGACCAUGAAGCACCAGCUGCUCCCUUUAAAAUGAGGCAAAAAAAACGUGGUCUGCAGUUCCAAAAAUCAGGCGUGAUGAUAAAGGAAAACAACAGGAAUUUGCAGAGAAAAAAGGAAAGAACUAAGCCGGGAAGGUUUGUGCAGGAAAGAAAUCAGACGGGGGGAGGGGUUGUUCUCAUAAUGACAACGGACUGUGCAGUUUGUGUCAAAACAAAAGGUAGUAAGACGUCGUAAAAAUGAGAGCAAAACGUGAUCAGGUCCCCUAUUUUCCUUUUCUGAUCGAAUCUUUGUUCUUCAAUUUCUUCAUCGAGCAAAAUUUCUUUCUAAUUUUAUCUUCAAUCAACUUUCUUAUUUUAGCACCUGUUCCAUUUGGUCCUUGGUAAAAAAAAAAAAAAAGCUUCAAAUUAGCCUGCAAUUGGUUUUCAAACUUUAAGCAUCUUGCAAUUGUGUCCCUGCAAACAUGGGCAAAAAUCUUUCUCGCGGCAGAAAUCCCUGCUUUCACACUAGAUAUUCAAACGAGAAUGUCUUGAGCUUCUGAUAUCAAAAUCAAGCAAUUCAAAAGCCCAAAUUCAUCUACGUGUCCCGGACUACAUCUUUGAUGAAGGAUUCGAAGUGAGAUAAAUUCUUUUUGAAUAACAGAAUUGCAACCAAACUCGGCUGGAAACCUUCUCGCGGCAGGAUUCUAUGUUUUCACGCUAGAUUUCAAACAGGAAUAUCUUGAGCUUCUGAUAUUGAAAUCAAGCAAUUCAAAAUCUCAAAUUCAUCUACGUGUCCUGGACUACAACUUUGAUGAAGGAUUCAAAGUGAGAUAAAAUUGUUUUAGAUAACAGAAUCUGGCAGGGAUCUAGUUGGUCAAAAAGGUUUUCUUAAUAUGACAAUGCCAAGCAUUCAAAUCUAACUGAGAGUCUACCCUAAGAACAGUGACCCCCAGGACCCAAUAAAGGUGUAGGUUAAUUUUUCAACAUGUCAUGAGUGAUAGAAUAUAGUUAGGAUGGUCAGAUAUCGUACGAAACCAAGUCAGAAUCAGAGCCUAAGUUGGAACAAGAAAUUGAGACAGCAGCAGAACCAGUUUUUUUGGGUGCAAAUUCUGAGGGAUUUAUGCAACCUUAAAGACCAGAUAAAGAAGAAACGAAUUUAGCAUUAUGAAGACUCCUGAUCAAUCUAAGAAAACUUGAUGAUUUUAGCAGCAAAGGGGAAGGAUAAAGGGAGCAGAAAACAGCUCAAACAGGGUUUUAAAAAAAUAUUUCUUUCUCUGCUUUUGUCAAUUUUCCAACAAACAUGAGUUAAACUCCUACACUCAGUUCAAAAAAGGUAUACACCGUCUCCAGCAUGUGGGGUCCAAAAAUGAGUAACAACAACAUGCAUGAUAUUCAAAAACCCUAAAAUUCCUUGCAAUACAACAUUGUUGCACACAUGAGUUUUCCAAUAAGAAUUGAAUUGAUGAUGAUAGAGUGAUGUUGAUGAUAUUUUGAUCACAUGAUAUAUUAAAAAAAUUAAAAUACAAUAUAAAAAAAAUUAAAAUACCAUAUUUAUAUGAAUAACCAGUAGUUUAUUUUAUGAUGAUGUUAAGUUUUUAUUAUUGAAAUAAUAAAUUUUGUUAGUGUUUGUUUUUGUUGUCAAACCGUGUUUUUGAAAAAAAAUUAUUUUUAUUUUGCUUCGAAUUAAUAUUUUGUGUAAAAAAUAUGUAUGUGUAAAAAAUAAAUUUAUUUUCUUGUAUUUUACUUUUAUUUAGUUACAUAAAAAAUAUGUAUGCGUAAAAAAUAAAUUUAUUUGAUUUGUUUAUUCAUUGACGCCAGAGUCAGGAAUAAAAAAUACUGAUUUAAAUUUAUUUUAUAGCUACGUACUAUUUAUCAACGCCAGAGUUGAAAAUAUUUAUAGUUAAAUAUUCACUAGCGCCAGAGUCAGGAAUAUUACACGCAAACAUUAAAUAAUCGGCAGGCAUUUGUAUCUCUCUUGUAAUUUCUUCCAAUCCAAACAUGUAACAAGCCAUCAACAUUGACUUGAAAAUAGUAGCUAGGCACAGACAAAGUCGUGCAUCAUCUAGACGACAUUAUAACCCCCAACAACAGUACUAAGGUCCAUCAUGACCGCUGGAUUUGAAUCCAAUGGUUGAUGUUGGACGUUGACUCAAAUCAUCGGUCAUCUGAACUUGAUUUCCAUUUACAUGACUGUGCAUGGCGCCGAGGGAUUUUGCCAUCCAAGUAUAAAGUAGAGGUGUUAAUCAUUUCGAAGGUUGCAAUGUUUACCUGUAGAUUUUAUAAGAAGGUAACGUAAUAAUCACAUAUGAAUCUAAUUUGAAGUUCAUGAAAGUAGAGAAUCCAAGGAAAGCCAUGGACCAAACCAUUAUCCAUUAUCUAUGUAUUAAUUAGCCCAUCACUUACAUGGCUAUACCUGGACUGGCUAGAAGCCCAGAGGCUACAACAGGGCUGCAAGUAACACCUUAUGCAGUUUAUACUGACUAUCACUCUGCUGCGGGAUAGAUAUUAUUAUUUUAAUAGAAAAAAUAAAUAUAUACGUUUUUUCAUUAUAUCUUUUAAUGUAAGAAAUUCUGAUUAUAAAUAAAUAAAAAAACCUAUGUAUACAUUCAAUUAAAUAAAUUGAGAAUUAUUUUUACUAAUAAAAAAAAUCAUUAACAAUAAGUAAAGGCUAAACUUGAAAAAUUAAGAGAUAGACGUAAAUUAAUAUAUUUAAUCUAAUAACAUGAACCAUGUACUUGGUUGUGUUUGAUAACUUUGUUUAUUAGAUGUAAUCUUGUAUUUAAUUAAACAAUAAUAGAAAUUGAUACACGUGAAAAUAAUUAAAUAAAAUAAAUAAAUAAAAUUUAUACAAGUUGCAUAAAUUAUAAAAAUAAAUAUUAUUAUUUUAUAGAAAAACCAACUAAAAAUUAAAUAAUCAAGAUAAUAGCGGUUGAUUUAUUAUUAUUAUUAUUGAAGCAUGUCGUUUUAUUAGGAAUUGACCGAGUAUAUCAAAUAAUUAAUAACAUAGUCGGAUUAAACGAGUUUAGUCACAUAAAUAUUUUGUUUUUGCUUCAACUUGACAUCUUCAAAUCAAGAAUUUUAUGAAUCUACCAAUAGGGUAUAAUUAACAACCAUUACUACUUUACAAGUCGAUGGAGAUUUCCAUAAUUAACCCCAACUUGAAUUUUCAAAACAGGUAGUUGCUUACUAACUGUAUCCAUGGGAAAACAAAUUGAAACCCCAACUUGAAUGUUUUUCGUGAUUGGUUUGAAGAUUUAAGAUAGUAAAAAGGGUUUUUCUUUGAAGACUUUGUUUGAAAAAUGAUUAAGAUCUAUUUGGGGUUUUUAUUUUAUUAUAUUUUGGAUGGAUAACUACCUAGCAUGGUGAUUUUUAAUGUGUUUAUAUUAAGAAUAAUUUUUUUUAAAAAAAUAUUAUUUUAAAAAAAAUAUUAUAAAAAAAUUAUCAUUAAUAAAGUAUAAUUAUGAACACCGCUAAUAUAUUAAGCAUAAAUCUUAGUCCUAAUUAAAUUUAGUCCAUAAAAAUUACCAAUAUAAAUUUAAUUUGUAAGUAUAUAUAUAAUAUUGAUAAAAUAUCUAACUCCAUCGUGGCACUUGAGGUAUUGGCCUUGCGGUGGUAGGGACUUGUUCCCUUUUUUUCUACACCCGGGUUCGAACCUCACUGUGCAAGCAUGUCAUCUCUGAUGUGCCUUACAUGCUCAUUGGAUUUGCAGGAUGUUUACUGGAUCAUGAGAUUAGUCGUGGUGAGUGAAAGCUAGCCUGGACACCCAUGUAAAUAAAUAAAAAAUAAAUAGAUGAAAUUUACAAAACAUUAAUAAUUAUGUUGGAAAUGUCAAACAUGCUUCGCCGAAUGAUUGUUAUGAACACCGCUAAUAUAAAGGUUGUAUUGUAUCUAUCAUAAGGAACAUUAGUUUGGUGAUGUUCAUUUAUGCUCUAUGCACGCCCACCCCCCGCACAUGGCAUGUGUCCCAAGUGUUUUAUAAAAUAUUAAUGAGGUGGUUAGAAUACGGUAGUAUUUGUAAUUUAAAAUGUUUUUUUUAAUAUAUUAAAGUAAUAUUUUUUAUGUUUUAAAAAUUAUUUAAAUAUUAGUAAAAAAACAAUAAACACGAUAUGAAAAUAAAAAAAAUUAAUUUUAAAUAAGAAAUAAAGAAAUGUUUUUAAAUUUUUUAAAAACACUGUAACACGUUUACAAACAUCCCUAAUUCCUUAUCCUUCGCUGUUAUAGUCAUCAUUGGGUUUUGAAUUCCUAUGGAAUGGCAUUUUUUAUAUAUAAUUGUGAUUUUUUUUUUAUUUCAUGCUGUGCUUUUUUAAAAUAUAUAUAUUCUUAAAAAAAUAUUAAAUUAAUAUCUUUCCAACUUAAACACUAUAUAUAUAUAUAUAUAUAUAUAUAUAUAUAUAUAUAUAUAUAUAUAUAUAUAUAUAUAUAUAUAUAACAUCCUCUUGAGCAUUUAUAUCGAUUUGAAAAGAAGAAAGAGACAGAAGUGGUUAAGCGACGAUAAUAAAUGAAUGGUGCUACAAAAGAUUAAACGGAGGUGGCUAUUUGCCAAAUUUUAGGUUCUAUUUUAUUUUAAAAAAGUGGCUUUAAAAAAAUUAUUUUUAAAAUUUUUUUGUGUUUGUUUGCUAUUAAAAAAUUGAUAAAAAAACACUUUUCAGUAAAAAAAAAUUUAGUUUGGUUUUCAGAAAAAUAUUUUUUUUUAUUUUAAGCUGAAAAUAUUUUUUCGGAAGUUGUGAAAAAUUUAAAAAUAUCAUAUUAUUUACUGAUUAUAUCAAAUUUGAUCAUCAAACUUUUGAUUGCUAUAUAUAUUUUAUUUUGAAUAUUUAUUUUUCAAUUUCAUCCCUUAUAAUUUAAUUUUUAUAUUAAUUUUAGUUUUCAUUUUUAUAAUUAUUUUUUAUUUUUUUUAUCAUUUUUUAAUUGAAAUUUCCAUUCCUCACAUUUUCAAAAUUGAAGAAAGCAAUUGAAAGUGAAAGAAACGGAGGUGCACGCACCAGCACCAUCACCAUUACCUUGGAAAAUGAAACCUUUUGCUUUUAUUUGCAAUAAUAUUAAGUACUUACGUGACCCUACAAUAAUAUUUAUACAUCUCACCAACCUUAUUGACCUUAUUGUUUAAUCACAUAAGAUGGUCUCUUUGCGUAAAAUAUUAUAAAUUAUAUGAGUUUAUUUCUAAGGUUAAUUUUAUGGAAUGAAAAAUAUAUUAUCAAUUAACUAACAUAAUUUUCAUUGGGAAACCAUAGCCAGUCUUUUAUUAUAUUUUGUUUCUGGGCAUUUCAUCCGGCAAAAAAAUGACGAGAGAAUAGAUGGAGAUCGAGGGGUUUUUUGAAACAAAUAAUAGCACUUUGGAAGAAAACAUUCAAAGGGACAAAAUCCUAGGAGUACUAUACAAAGAUAAGAUAGCAUAAAAAACAAAGACUAGCACAAAGUCGUGCAUCAUCUAGCUUGAUGAAAGAGGUCAAAACAACAGCAGCAACACAAAAGGGAUGAUAUUAUAAACACAACAACACUAAGGCCCAUCAUGACCUUUAAAACAAAGAUAAGAGAGCAUAAAAAACAAAGACUAGGAUUUGAAUCUAGAUGUAACAAGCCAUUUAACAAUAUUUGCUGACCAAACAUGUAACAAGCCAUCAACCAUGGAAAAACUGUGACCAUUGACUUGAGAGUACUAGCUAGGCACAAAGUCGUGCAUCAUCUAGCUAGAUGAAAGAGGUCAAAACAACAGCAGCAACACUAAAGGGAUGAUAUAAAUACAACAACAGUACUAAGGUCCAUCAUGACCACUGGAUUUGAAUCCAAUGUUUGAUCUUGGACGUUGACUCAAACCAUCGGUCUUCUGAACUUGAUUUCCCUUUACA